GGUGUGGCGGUCUGGGGCGGCCGGACGGCGGCGGACGGCGGUGGAGAACUUUCCGGGUGGAGAAAGGAGAAAAACCGGGUGGGAAGAGAAGAAAAAUCGGGAGGGAGAGAGAGAGAAAGGAAGAAGAAAUGGGUUGGGCUCGGCCCAGCCGACCCAACUCUCCUUUUAACCCAAAAUUCCAAAAUUCAACACCCCGAAAAAUAAUACCCGAAUAAAAAUUACCUUUUACUAGCUAAAAUUUACUAUUUUUACCGUCGUCGUAUUUUCCUCAUACGAAUAAUCCUCCGCACAUAAUCGUCCCCGAAACCCCUCUAGGGACCAAUUAAACUAUUUACUCAAUGACGGAGACGGUAAAAUUCUUAUUAUAAUCACGCUAGUAAAUAAGGUAAAAAUAUAAGGGUCGGGAUGUGACAACCAAACGCCGUGAAGUUCUAGCAGCGGUAAAUAUACACCGCUUUUUUCCCGAAAACGCAAAGCCAAACUGGCCCUUAGUUUCAUCAGUCUGUCUAGUGUACGAAAAUACCCUCACAUUUCCGUCUAUGUGGGCGGAAAAGUUAACAGAAUUGGCUUAUUUGAUGGUUGGGUAGCAAUUCGGCCGAUUUUGAAAUCAUAUUGUAGCAAAAUGGCAGAACUAAAAGCUAGGGUAGCAAAUUGACACCAUAAUAAAAGCUAGGGUAGCAAAUCGGCUAAUAAAAAAAUACAAGAGAUUUGAUACUGGUAUCAAUGGUAUGUGUUUGUUGCUAUUUGCUCCCGCAAUAUUUUGGUAGGGUAUCAGUAAACCAGUAACAGCAAACGGCUGAGAACUGUUGAAUCUGCUGGUUCGAAGAAUCAUUCGAAGGAAUUUCAGAUUAGUUAUCCCAUGCCAAACUGGUAUUUACAGUUUCUUGGUUUCAGCAACUGUGAUUACAUUUCAUUCCAACCGAUUAAGAAAAAACAGAAACAUUUGUAGUAGCCAACCAGUAGCAUUCAAAGCCAAGGCACAUAGCAUUCAUCAUAUGUACUCCAAACAAUGUUUUGUUUAGAUAUGUCUAAACUGGUACAAGCUUAACAUAACUAGAACAUUGUCAAAAAGAUAAAAAUAAAACUAGAACGAAAUAUUGUUCUAGAAUGUAUCUAAUCAAUAUGUUUUUGAUCAUUUGACUUUCAACAAUGAAGGGUUAAACACCCAAAACAAAUGACUCUAUUAAUCCAUUGAUUGUGUCCGGUGAAUCAAAAUGUGCCGCAUGCCCUGUGUCCUUGAUAAUCUCUAAUUUUGAUUUGGCGCCCAAGUGUCUGAAAAAAAGAAGAAGAAGAAGAAUAGAAACAACGUUUAUUAAGUAAGUGUUUUUCUCUAAUAGCAUUCUAAUGUUCAAUUUGAUCAUAUACCUUUGCAAGUCGUAGGCCAUGUAAAGUGGGAAGACAUUAUCUUGAUCACCCCAAAUUAUCAGCGUUUCCUGCACGAAUGAAACCUUGAUCAAUUUUAAAAAAAGGGAAGAUAAAGUUGCUUUCAAGCUAGCAAUUAGUCUCCAAUUGCAUGCUUUGUAAUUUAGCCAAGAGAAAACAUAUAUAAAGCUUUGAGUAUAAGAGUUAAUUAAGACUUUUGUUACCUGACUUAGGAUAGCAAGGCCUGCAUCUGCUUUCUUUGCCACCAAGUGUUGCAAUAGCUCUAAUUUCUCCUUUCUAUUUUCCUUGUUAGCCUGCAAAGUCCAAAUAUAACAAAAGUAAAAAUAAGGCUAGUAUAACACUUAAAAAGUCGCUCUCUAUCCGCCAACUUUGUAUUUAUCAAUUUCGAUUCAAUCAUAUCACUCUCGUCUUAGUUGCAUUAUUGUAUGUGUGUCAUGUUCGAGUCUCUAAUAAUUACCAAGAAUCUGAUAUUAAUAAUAGUCGAGAUUACACGGUUUUCUCUAAUGAGUGUCGAAUGGUUAUUUCAAAACACAUCCAUAUCAUGGUCGCAAAAAGAAAAAUAGAUUGAGAUUUGUCUCAGUACAGCAAGAUUCGAAUAUGGGUACGAGGGUUUCACACCGCGGCUGUUACUAAUUCAAAACAUCAUAAAUUAAUUAAUGUUGAGCUCAUCCAGAGAGAGAGAGAGAGAGAGAGAGAGAGAAGAACUCACAUCAAUGAGCUUUUGAAGCACAAAGUCAGGAACCCACUUGAAAACAUCAAACUUGUAAAUCGAUCGACUCACUAACAACCGUAGAUCAUGUGGAUUUUUCGCUACAAGAAUCUCCAAAGCAUCUGAAUUCUCCCUCAACAACUCCUCCUUCUGCUGAUCAUUCCACACCACCCCGCUACUCACGAUCACAACCUUCUCCACCGUCUCCGGACACAUCUCCGCCAUGCAAUACGCCACGAAGCCGCCGUAGCUAAUACCGUACACCGAGAACCGGUCCACCCCCAACUUUUUCAGCCCCUCCAUAACGCACUUGGCUUGGAAAGACUCGCUCCGGUCAGACCUGUUCGUGUAAGACUUCCCAAAGAAGAGCAAAUCCGGCACGUACACGUUGAACUUUUUGGACAAGGGACUGAGUUGACGGACGAACUGCCACAGGGAGUUGCCACCGUAGCCGUGAAUCAGAACGAGGCUUGGUUUGUCGAACCGGCGGUGGUUGGUGGUCCAGAAGUGGACGGUGGUUUGGUCGUUAAUGUCAACGGUGCAAGGAGAUAGACCGCACAGUCUGUAGUAGAGGGAUACAAGUGUAUCUGGGAUUCUGAAAAUGAUCAAAUCCCAGUUUGUUUUGAAGAGAAUGGAUUUGAGGUGGUGGAAAAUGGUUGAUAUGGCCGCGAGGUAGAGGGAGAUGACAGUCCAAAUCUUUUGGUAAGCCAUUGAUUGGUCUUAGAAGUAUAUUCACGGCUCUAGUAUUUUUGUGAUAGGCACGGAUCUAGUAUUUGUUUCGGGACUGUAUUUAUAGAUGUGUGUAAAUGUGUAAUUGAAAUGAUAGCUUUUGCAUGAAGAUGAAGUUUCAAGUAGAAUAAUAUAUGUGAUGAUGUGAUCACCAAGAUAACAGUUCGAUCAUGGCCGUCUUUUUGACUGUUCAUGGUCUUAAUUCUUAUAUACACAGUUUGUAAGUAUACGAUGCAAUAUACAUUUGUUUGCGAGUCAAUUGCUCGCUUUAACUAUUAGUGUUUCUGGCACCAAGUAAACUCGAUCUGAAAUAUAGAAGCUAGCCAAGAAUUGUUACUUACACUUUGGUGAAGUGGCUUUUGUGCUCCCUCGAUCAUGUGAACGUAUCUAUCGUAACUUUCAAACAAGAUGACUGUAAGUACUAGCUAGCUGCUAGUGACUCCAACUUUCUUAUCCCGCAUUACUGGAAAUUCUCUUAUUUUAUAAAGCAUGUGUUCAUCAAGGCCACUAGUGAUUAGUAAUUAGAGUUAAAUACAAUAAUAUAUGCAUAUUAUUUCUUUGCAUCUAUGAUCAGGUCUGCUUCAAUCUGUAUAGAAACAACAAUAUAAAACACAUGCACAAAGAGUCUUAAACCCUUCUCUCCAAAAAAAAAUAAAAAAAGAAAGAAAAAAAGAGUCUUAAACCCCAGGUCCUUAUCAGCUUUCCUUUUGUGUCCACCAAAAAAUAAAAAAAAACACAUGCACAUAGUGAAUACGUUUUUUUUUUAUUUUAUGAAAAGUAUAUAUGUUAAUUUAAUAUGUGCGUGUUUCUUUUAUUACAAGUGUGUUUAGUGAAAUUAUGAUAAAUGUAGGAUGAUCUCAGAAAAUUUGAGUCAAUUAAUCAAACAUGAAGGAGAUAGACAACAACAUCUUGUUUUGCUUGUGAUGAGAACAAUGACAAAAGAUUGUCUAACGGCUUUCCUUUUCGUUAUUUGAGUUAAUCGUCUAAAGUGCGAGAAAUGAUUACAAGUUUGGGAUAAAACAAACAUAAAUAUUAGAACGUUUUUGUUUGUUGCAUGUUGAAAAUGUAGCACAGUUGACAGUUCGAAUGCAACCACGAGAAAUGGAAUUUCUUCUAUGCCUCUGUAACAAAACAUCGAGGUGAAAAAAGUCGGUGCAAAUCUAUUUUAUAGAUCGAUACUUCAUAUAUCUGAAAAUGACAUUAAUUUUCAUAAGAUAAGUAUGAAUACUAGUUCUGUCGUCAUCAUGAGUUUGAUCCCAUCAAAUUUAUGGACUCCUGAGUUAAUUAUUUUUCAAUGUCAUUAUUUCUUUCAUAAUACCCCAGAAGACAAGCUUACUGAUUACCCAAAGUUAGCCUAUCGCCAAGAAUUUUUGAGAAGAAUGGCUAAUGAGAAUAGAAGACUUCGUCCUUGUUAAAUAUUUUUUCUUACGCUACAAUGAAUAAGCAAAACUUUUUAAAUGCUCAUCUCCCAAGUUUUCAAAGAAAGUUAGGUAAAGUUGGUGAGUAAGAAUUUUAAAAUUUUAAUUAUACAUUACGCACCUGUUAUACCUAAAUUUUAAAUAAAACCCUAUGCUAUUCUAGCAAUGUAAUUAUUAUUAGAAGGAAAACAAAUAACAAAGGCGAGAAUGCUCUGACCUACGCAGAGUGGCUUAGGGUUUCGAAAACUAGGUUUGUUAGUGGCGGUAAAGAGCCUCGUGCCCUAACCAUGUAGUGGUAAGAUAUCGGGCGGCGGCGGUUCAAAGAAGAGAUAGAGAUACUCUCAAGUGACGGCGACGACAGGAUCCCGACCAAUCUAGGGCUCUAACCACAACUGUUAUGUGCGGUUGGGGGUGUUUUGUUAGGGAAAAGUCAACUGUUAACCUUUCUUGGUAUCAGUAGGAGUCAAGUAGUCGAGGAGGUCUCAUGUGUUGUGCGCAUGUCUCAUUAAGUAGUUAAUUUCAGUUAAGUAGUCGUUAAUCAGGAUUAGGGUUACAUUAGCUUCAUCCACUCAGUGCAUGACACGUGGUAGCGGUGGUUGGAUGAUUGUGGCUAUAUGUAUUGUCUGGAACUCCUUUUCCAACCUAUCUAAGAAAAUAUCAGUUUUAUCUUCUUCUUUCUUUUCUGCAUUUACCUUUAUUUUCUAGGUUAGGGGAUUUACCCUAACAAGUGGUAUCGAGAGCUUGUCGAUCCAUGGUGAAAUUGAAGCAGGUUACGAAACCCUCAUCUUCUGAUGAGCCAACGGUUUUUGGUGAGCUCUCGCAUCUAGAGGAUGAGUUACAGGCUCAUCAAGAUGCCACCAGUGCUUGUUUGGACUCGACGGAGGUCUUGUUGCAAGCUAAGCUGCAGGAAUCACUUAGUUCUUCGCUUGCUAACUUUCAGUUGAGCUUGUUGGCUGAACUAAAGCUGUUAGGCGUGUUUACUGCUAAGAAACAGUAGAUCCAACCACCACCAGAGUUAGCCGGAACCGCUAUCACUCAGCCAGAUGGAUCUGUGCGUUUUGGUUUUAUUCCGCCUCCUUUGGUUGUUCAACAGCGCGUGGUGUCAAGCUCCACAGAUGGCGCUUCUGCAUCAUCAGCUACACUGGCUAGAUCUGAUGGUAGUUCUCUUAAUCCUAUUCCUCCUCAAAAUUUUACUGCUAAUUUUGGGUUGAAUAUUCCUCAAAAUUUUAAUGCUAAUUUUGGGGUGAAUACUAUGGUAGGGAGAGCUAUCACUGAGUCUAGGGCAUUUUGUGAUUCGGUUCAUAACUCUGAGCAUGUUAAUGUGGGAGUGCAACAUGGUAAAAUAUCAUCUAAGAUUGGUACUAGUGAGAAUUACAUUGGACCUUUGCCAAAUAUUUUUGGUGGAGUGGCUUCACAGGUUGUUCAGCAACAGAAGGGAGGAUCUCAACAGAUUGGCAAUUCUGUUUUUCCUACCUUUAAUGUGCAAAAUAACAUGCAUAGGAGCUCUGUUGCAGGCAUGAGCUGCCCUGCAAACCAAAAUCCCUUUUCUAUGUCCUAUUCUGGUCCACAUGCUUCAUCCUCUUUCAGUUUCACAAACAAUCCCAACACCUUCAAUACAUCAUCUCAUUUGUCAUCCACAGCCCCCCAAAUGUCUCACACUCCCAAUGUUAACUCCUACACCUCCCAGCCAAAGCCAAACCAUAGCUCAUUCCCUAAUAUUCAUAUUAAUGCCUCAUAGCCAAACCAAACUCACAACUCAUUUUCAAACCCUGGUCCAUUUAAUCAUGCUCACACAUCUCCUCCCCCAUCCCCAACCAGCCCUCAUGAUCACCUCUUACCAACCAUGAAACAAAUGAGGCUUGAAUUUCAAACAUUCAGUGGUGGGGAUCCGACUGAAUGGCUCAACAAGGCUGAGCAAUAUUUUGAGUUUUAUCAAAUACCUAAGGAGAGGAAACUGUCCAUUGCUACAAUGCACAUCUUUGAUAAGGCAGCUGAUAGAUGAUACAUGUUCCGUUAUGAAUAUUCUAAUACUUGGAAUGGUUUAGCUGAUUUGCUGAUGAGGGAGUUUAGCUGUUACAAUAGGUCUGAGUAUCAAGCGGCCUUAGCACGUAUGAAUAAGACUGGUUUUGUCGAUAGCUAUAUGGAUGAGUUUACCAAGCUUUCUCGUAGAGCCCCAGAAUUCUCACAGGAGUUGUUAGUUUCAUUUUUCAUUGGAGGGCUGAAGAGUAAAAUAAGAUGGAGUGUGCAUGCAUUAAAACCUAAGUCAUUAUAUGAGGCUUGUGAGCUUGCUAGGGUCAGAAGAAUUUUUAUAGAAACACCAGCCCUAAAUUAUCUUUUUCACAGCCUCAGUUCAAAGCUGGUUUACCGUAAUAGCUUCCCAAGAGCCCCUACAAUCCUACAGUUCCUGCCAGUGCAAGCAGACAACAAAAUCCAGUUAAUGCCUCCCAAAAUGUGCAAGUUCGUACGUCUGAUGCUGAGUUUAAGGCUCGGAGAGUUCGCAAUCAGUGCUAUUUUUGUGACAAGGAGUACACAAAAGGUCACAAUUGCAUAAGAAAAGGGCAGUUAAUGAGUAUGGAAAUAGUACCAUCUGAAGGAGAAAUAUUGGAAGGAGGGGAAGAGGUGAUGAAUAUAGAAGUACCCCCAGUCGCUCCAGUAGCUCCUAUUGACUUAGAUGAGCUUUUAAUCCGUCUACAAGUAAUGGGAGGAGGCAAUUCUGAUACAAUGCAAUUGAAAGGAGUGUUGAAAAAGAGAGUGGUGCAUAUGUUGAUCGACUUCGGAGCUACACAUAAUUUUAUCCAUCCACAGUUGCUAAAAGGGAGUAAGUUCAAGAUACAACAUUCUCUCCACUCAAUGUGUUGCUUGCUUCAGGAGCAAAGGUUCAAACUAAGGGUGAGGCCACUGUACAAUUACAACUACAGGAUUAUACAUUCACUGAUGAUUUUUAUGUGCUUCCUGUAUCUGGAUGUGAGAUUGUGCUAGGAACUAAAUGGUCGAAGUCCCUAGGUGAUAUAUUGUGCAAUUUUGAGCAGAUGAAAAUGAAGUUUUCUGUGGGAGGUAGUGAAAUUCAGCUGCAGGGAAUAACAUCAGCACAAGAGUCUAUGAUAAGCUGUAAAGCAAUGACUAGAUUGCUUAGGAAGGAAAGAGAAGCCAUGCUGGUACAGGUACAAGCUAUCAGUGCUCAGAAGGAGGAAAUGGUUGUCAACACCAAAAUUAAAGUCUUACGUGAUAAGUAUGCAAGAUUGUUUGCAGCUCCAACAUCUUUGCCUCCACAAAGAGAGCAAGAUCACACUAUUGAGUUGUUUCCAAACACUCUACCAAUGAGUGUCAGGCCAUACAGGUAUCCACACUUUCAAAAGUGUGAAAUUGAGAAAAUAGUGCAGGAACAAAUUGAUAAUGGAGUAAUCAGACCUAGCAAGAGCCCUUACUCCUCACCAAUGUUAUUGGUGAAGAAAAAAGAUGGUACAUGGAGGAUGUGUGUGGAUUAUAAGUCACUCAAUUCAGUUACAGUCAAGCACAAGAAUCCAAUACCUGUUGUUGAUGAGUUAUUAGAUGAAGUCAGUGCCAAGAUUUUUACAAAACUGGAUUUGAGGUCAGGCUAUCAUCAAAUAAGGAUGCAUCCGAAGGAUAUACACAAGACUGCCUUCAGAACUCAUAGUGGUCAUUAUGAGUUUUUGGUUAUGUCAUUCGGUUUGACCAAUGCCCCUUCGACUUUUCAAUCAGUUAUGAAUGAUAUUCUGAGAAUAUAUUUGAGAAAAAUUGCAUUAGUCUUCUUUGAUGAUAUUCUGAUUUUCAGUGACAGCCUUGACUCUCACUUGGAACAUUUAGAACUGCUUUUCAAGAAAUUGCAGGAGCAUGAUCUAAAGGUGAAGAUGAGUAAAUGUAGUUUUGGGGUGCCCUCAGUUGAGUACUUGGGGCAUGUCAUUAGUGCAGAAGGAGUUUCUGUUGAUCCUGUAAAAAUUGAAUACAUCAAGGGGUGGAAGAAGCCUUCAACCCUGAAGGGAUUGAGAGGGUUUUUAGGUCUUGCUGGUUAUUAUAGAAAGUAUGUUAGAGUUAGACACUUUGCUAUUAUUGCUAAACCACUUACUGACAUGUUGAAGUUGGGAGGAUUUCAGUGGAUCAGUGCAUCAGAAAAGGCUUUUGAGGACCUCAAACAAGCUUUGAUGUCAACACCAGUAUUGGCCUUACCAGAUUUUAACAAGGAAUUUGUAAUCGAGUGUGAUGCAUCUGGUAUUGGUAUUGGAGCUAUUCUGUCUCAAGAAUGGCAUUUUUGAGCAGAGCCUUGGCUCCUAGACAUGUUGCAUUAUCAGUCUAUGAUAAAGAGAUGAUGGCAGUGGUGUAUGUAGUUCAGCAGUGGAGGCCCUAUUUGUUAGGAAGACAUUUUAAAAUUUUCACUGAUCACAGAACUAUUCAAUAUUUCUUAGAUCAGAAAAUCUCUACUCCAACUCAGCAGAAAUGGUUGCUGAAGUUAGCUGGCUAUGACUAUACCAUUCAUUUCAAGGCUGGCAAAAAUAAUGCAGGACUAGAUACAUUGUCAAGGAGAGAGGAGUUGGGGGCAAGUGAAAAUAAAAUUGUGGAAAGGUUUGGAAGUCUCAGUGCACUACAAGGGAUUUCAUCUCCUGCACAUUUGUUUUUACAGGAUAUUCAGAAAUCUUGUCUAAUUGAUCCUGAAGCUAGUAUUAUUAUUGUUCAACUGCAAUCAGAUGCAAGUUCUCAACCUCACUAUAAGCUGGAGGGAGAGCAACUGUUGUUUAAGGAUAAGAUCUUUGUUCUUGUCACUGACAAUUGGAGAACCAAAAUUAUUGUUGAGUUCCAUAAUGGGUACAAUAUAUGGGGGACAUGCUGGUAGGCACAUAACUCAUAAAAGGGUUUACAGAUAAUUUUGCUGGCCAAAAAUGCACUAUAUAUGAUGUCAAGAAGUUUGUAGUAGUGUGACAUUUGCCAAAGAAAUCACUAUGAAGCUACUCAUCCUCCGGGACUACUACAACCAAAUGAAAUACCUCAUCAGACUUGGAAGUGCAUAUCGAUGGACUUUGUAGAAGGAUUACCAACUUCUAUUGGAAAAAAUGUCAUUUUUGCGGUUGUUGACAGGUUUACCAAAUUUGGUCACUUUAUGGCAUUGUCACAUCCUUACACAGCUUCUUAAGUGGUACAGUUGUUCAUCAGUGGAGUGUUUAAGCUGCAUGGGAUGCCAGACUCUGUAAUCUCAGAUAGAGACCCUGUCUUCUUGAGUGGAUUCUGGUCAGAAUUUUUCAAAGCUCAAGGAACUGCAUUGCAUAAGAGCUCAGCAUACCAUCCUCAAACAGAUGGCCAAACUGAGAAUCUCAAUAGGUCUCUUGAACAUUACCUAAGGUGUGUAGCAGGAGAAAAACCAACUUCUUGGGUGGAGGCUUUACCUUGGGCUGAAUACUGGUAUAAUACUGCACAUCAUUCUACAAUUGGGAUGACACCUUUUCAGGCUCUCUAUAGUUAUGAACCUCCUGCAAUAAGGUCUUAUGCUUCAGUAUUAACUGCAGUUAAUUCAGUGGAUCAGGCACUAAAGACAAGAGAUGAGUUGUUAGCUAUUUUGAAGAGGAACUUGGAGAUUGCACAAGCUAGGAUGAAGUUGCAGUAUGACAGAAAGCAUGUGGAAAGGGAAUUUCAGAUUGGAGACUGGGUUUAUGUGAAACUGCAGCCUUACAAGCAGCAGAGUGUGGCUAAGAGGAAGUUUCACAAACUUUCUCCUAGAUAUUAUGGCCCUUUUGAAGUGGAUGAGAGGAUUGGGACUGUUGCCUACAAAUUGAAGCUCCCAGCUGCUGCAAAAAUACAUCAAGUUUUUCAUGUUUCUUUGCUAAAAAAGAAGUUGGGGAGUACAGUGACUGCUUCAGCUCAUUUGCCUCCAAAUGUUGACCCCUACAAUCCUAGGUGGUACCCAGCAAAAAUAUUGGAGGGCAGGAUGUACAAGAAGGGUAAUGUAGCAGUGACCAAAUGGCUCAUUCAGUGGUUGGGAUCAACAGAAGAAGAAGCUACAUGGGAGGAAGCUGAAGAUAUUCAAUCUCGAUUUCCGGAUUUUCAAGAUAUGUAACAAGCUUGAGGUCAAGCUUGAUUUGCAGAAGGGAGAAUUGUUAGGGAAAAGUCAACUGUUAACCUUUCUUGGUAUCAGUAGGAGUCAAGUAGUCAAGGAGGUCUCAUGUGCUAUGUGCAUGUCUCAUUAAGUAGUUAAUUUCAAUUAAGUAGUCGUUAAUUAGGAUUAGGGUUACAUUAGCUUCAUCCACUCAGUGCAUGACACGUGGCAACGGUGGUUGGAUGAUUGUGGCUAUAUGUAUUGUCUGGAGCUCCUUUUCCGAUCUAUCUAAGAAAAUAUCAGUUUUAUCUUCUUCUUUUUUCUUUUUCUUUUUUUUUCUUGCAUUUACCUUUAUUUUCUAGGUUAGGGGUUUUACCCUAACAUGUUUUAAAUGGGAGAAAAUCGGUGUUUGGGACAUCAAAGGAAGCGAUCCGAGUGGGUAUGUUCGGGUUGACGGCUCUUGUAGCAUUGAAGAUAAGAUCCGACAGCUUGAAUUUGGUGGGGGAUGGCAGUUUCGAUGCUCAUGUUGAACGAUGCUCAGUUUAAGAUGGUUGGAGCGCUUGAUGGUGGAGGGUAGAAAGCUGAAUCGUGGGAGAUGGUGGUCAACCUGACAACGUCGGCAGUCUCUAUGCUGGCAGAAGGAGCUUGACCGCCUCUGGGAAACAUGGCUGCUAGAAAGACCCGUCUCUGGGUCUGGACUCAAAUCCAAGAAGGUUCAAAUUUGUGACUGGGUUUUCGUUAACUAUGUCGGGAUGCUCGUACGUAGGAUGGAGGUGCCUCCAUCAAACAAGUUUGAGCUUGUUGGGAUGGUUCACUUCUAUUGGGUUAGGGUUGGGUCUUUUGCGACUGACUUUUGGCUCAUUGAGAGGUGGACUGUCCUGGUAGUCUGGGCUUGCAAACUAUGAAUUGUUGCUACAUUUCAAUGGUUGAUAUGACUGUUUAAGCACUGCAAUUGAGUGCAUCGGCAAUGGUGAUUUUCUCGACUUUAGUAUCCUUAUGUAUUAUAUUUUAUACCCUGCUAGCUAGGCUCAUAAAUAACAUAUAAAUAACAUAAUAAGUAAGCGAAUUGUCUAAUGUAAUGAUGUUAUGAUUUUUUUAAUAAGAUUGUUGUACGAUACUGUUAUGCCCAAGCAUGAAGUGUCCUAGCCCACAUGUAAAAGAAGAAUUAAACCUCUUCUUUGCAUGGUCAUAGACUCAUAGGCCAUAAUGGCCAAGGUCGAUCAUGGGGAUUCAUGUGAGUCUGUGAUUGCCGAGUAAGAACAUAUGCAACUACAGGCUUUUCACUGUGAUAGCUAGCUAAGCAGUUCCGGUUCAAGAUCGUACAUGUGGCCUAAAUUAAAUAUAUCUCAUGGUUUAGGUUAAUACACUACUAGAAUAAAGGACUUAGGUGACAGACAGAUUUCGUCGCCUAAAUGCUCAUUUUCGUCGCCUAAGUCCUCAGGCGACGAAAGGGUGGUCGCCUAACAAUCGUCGCUUCAGCAUGGACCCGUAAGAACUUAGGCGACGAAAACAAUAUAAUGGUCGCCUAAAUGAACACUUAGGCGACUAUAUAUUCAUCGUCGCAUAAGUCUAAGGUGAGGAAGACCGACACAUUUAGGCGUCGAAAUUAUCGUCGCCAACAAUUGGUGACGAAAGGAACUUAUAGUCACCUUAGUUUCCUUUUAUGCGACCAUUUAUUAAUCGUCGCCAUGUUUAAGGCGAGGAUUCAAUUCUGGCGACGGUUUCUCAUAUUUCGCCGCAUAAGUCUUAAUUCAACAUUUUAUAUAUAUACUUUUAAAUUAUAAUUAUAUAUUAUUAAAAAAUUUAAUUAUAUCAUUGAUAUGCACACAGUAAUUAUGUGUGUAUAUUUUCAAGUUCACAUUCAAAGUUAAAAACCUAGUGCAAAUCAAAAUCAUAAUAAAAGAAGUUCAUACUCAAAAAAUAUUAAACUUGCAAGAGGUAUAUAUACACAAAUAAAAGAGCAAGUUCAAAGUUCAUAGUUUAAACCCUCCUCAUACCCUAGCCUCUAAUAGUCCUAUAUAGACAAUGUUUAACAAAAGAAGAGGCAAAUAUCAAGGGUUUCACAAAAACAAAAAACCAUGGACCUAGCUAGCUUCAAGCAUCAACCUCAAGAUGUUGGCCUUCUUGUACGCUCGGCUGCGACUGCACAAACUUCUCCAACAUUUGUAUGCGGCGCUCAUAAUCAAGGAUCUUCUCUUGGGCUACUUUGGCCUGCUCCCGGGCUUGUUGUGCCUCCUCCUGAGCAUGCCGUGCCUCCUCUUGGGCUUGUCGGGCAUGCUCCCGAACCUCCUCAAGAACUAUAUCAUUGGGACGAGAACGCCUUGCUGCUUUUCCCUUGCCCAAAAUUUCAACUCUCCCAAGCCCCUUUAUUUCCCCCCCCUUGGUCCCAAGGACCUUCUCAAAUGCGUCAAGCUGAGAUUGGAGGUCUACUUGUUGAAGGAGCUCAUCCUUUGGAGUGUCCGGCUGUUGUUCGCUUAGCAUUGUUAGGAUUUUCUGUCUCAUAUCGUUCUGCAAUGACAAAAAACAAUUCAAACAACACAGCAAAACACAUAGCAAUUACUAAAACACAGCAGCAAUAUGUGAAACACAACAAAACACAACAAUUUCAAAAAACAGCAAGUUGAAGGAGUUAAUAGGCUCGCAUGCUGCAUCUAAUGAAACAUAUAUAUGAUCCAUGCUACACACUUAGCAACACACAUCAACACAACAACACUUAGCUGAAACAUAUGAGAUUUCAUCAACUCACAACAACAUCCAAGUGUUGCAAAACACAACAACAUAUAAACACAAAACAACACACACCAACAAUAAUUGAAAGUAAGCAGUGUCCAGUACCAUAAGUGUCAUAUAAAUGAAGUAAAAGAAUAAGCAAACACAUAAAAGAACACUUACGGCUUUUUCGGCUGCAAUCUCGUUAUGUGGGGCGUCAUACGCCACCUCAAAACCGUUGAUAAGGUAUAAUGAUUAACCCUCAUGCCUAAGUUUGUCUGCAUUGUAUAUGAAAGGUGUACAACCGGCGUGGUGAUGCAUGGUUAAUUUGUCUCGGUUUGCCGAGUUUGCAGCUGAGAGUUUUUGUUAAGAAAACAUAUAGAAAAGUUACUGCUUCACAUUGCAUCACAUAAGCUCAUAUAUAGGUAUAUGAUUUGAUUCAAUUCAUCAUUUUCCAAAACAAAAGUGAAAUCAAAUACUACACUUACCAUAGUGCUUUAAAUUUAAACUAAACUUCUAACUAAAUAACAUAUCGUACCUGAAACUGAGGUGACAAGAAGUGUUGCUUAAGCCAAUUCCACUCAUCCAUCCUUCCUCCUUGCACAAACUCUUUUGGAGNNNNNNNNNNNNNNNNNNNNUCUUUAGUCUGGGGUCCAUGGACAGAAUCGUUAUACUUGACUUCAAUAUUCUUCCCCGUUCGGCGGACAAUCUCUUCGGCUUUUAGGCCUUUUAUCAACCCUUUAGCCCUUUUUCUUGGGUGGAUCUGCCAAACACCGACAAAACAACACAUUACUAUUCUCAUAAAAGUGCCAAAACAAUUAUAAAAUAACGGUCUUGUAAAAACAUAUUAAAAAAAAAUCAUGAAACUUUUACCAUUUUCAGAACCCUCCUUUGGAAAAGCCCGCCUUGCGCUAAUCAAGGGACCUUCACACUCGGGGGGUGUCGGUGCAUUGGGGGGAGGAUCGGCAGUCCUGAUUAUUGGAGGAGCCAAAGCAGAUAACGAUUCUAAGGGAGGAGCAGCCACAGUUGGUGGGUUGGCUGGCCUUGGUCCAAGUUGCUGAACAGCCUGCUCAUAGCAACGUUUAAAAGCCUCCUGCCUUGACUUCGUCUUCAUGAGUGGCGGCAUAUGGUUCCUAGCCAAAUAAGAUCAAAUUUACAUGGUAUCAAAAAUUUAAACAAGGCCUGCAUUGUAUUAGAACUUGACUGAUAACAAAGUCCAAAUACAUAAUAGUGCUAUCUUACAACCUUAUACUGAGACACCUACAUCAUAAUUUUUAGUUUCACAUCCCAUCCACAAUUUAGAACACACCAUGACUUUAUUAUUAACAUAAAUGUUGAGACUACAGUAGGAGGAAAAGUAACACAAAUUAAGGAAGAAAGAAUGUACAUGUAUAACACGAAAGUAAUAACACAUAACAUUCUAAGAUCAUAAACUCGCACAUUAUGGAUCAACUAUAAACUAAAAGAAACCAUAAACCAUAAUCCCUUGCAACUGAAAGAAACCAUAAACCUGCAAGGAAGGAACAUGGAGAACAACAGUAUUUAUUGGAAUCAUUAUAUAUAGCGCAUUGGUUUAGACUCUUUCACUUCAUGAAUGCUUUCUGCUUAGAAUGCAGUUGAAACAAAAUAGUGUAGUGCUGAAACUAGAAUGCAGCUGAAACAAAAUAGAAUUCAGCUGAAACAAAAUAGGAUGCAGGUGAAACAAAAUAGGAUGCAGCUGAAACUAGAAUGCAGGUGAUACAAAAUAGGAUGCAGCUGAAACAAAAUAGAAUGCAGCUGAAACUAGAAUGCAGUUGAAACAAAAUAAAAUGUAGCUGAAACAAAAUAGAAUGCAGCUGAAACUAUUAGAUGAAGAGCUUGAUUGGUAAAGUUAAAUUCUGCAUUGCAAUAGUACACUAGUACAAAUAGAUGGUACAAAUGAUACUUAAUACACAUUCUUACCCCAUCAGAUAAUUCCAAGCAGCAGAACAAAGUGGAACUUAUAAAAUUGUUUUCAAGGUUUAAAGUUGGAUAAAGUACCUCAAGGAUGAAGCUAGUUGGUAUCUUCUAGAAACCAACGCAGGAAGGAGAACAGUGCUUCUCUUGUAUGACAAAAACCUGCAAUUAGUCAUCCAUUAGUACAUGAUUUAAGUCCGAACAAGCAAAUCAAAAGGUUUGCCUAAUAAGAAUCAUGAUGAAUCUAAAUUAAUAAUGUGAACUAUAAACCAUAAACCAUAAACCAUAAACCCUGACCUUGUGAUCGAUUUAGGAGAGAGAGAGAGGCGUAGAUGAGAGGAGACUCAAGAGAGUCCGAGGGUGGAGAUUGACCCUUUCAUAGGAGAGAUGAGAGAGAGGCGCAGAUGGGAGGAGAGAGAGGCGCACAUGAGAGGAGAGAGAUUAGGGAUUGGCAGGAAGGAUCGGGUUCACCUAGAGAUUGGAAGAAAAUUGGGAGGAGAGAUGAGAGAGAGCAUAGCAGAUGGGAGGAGAGAUGAGGGUGGAGAUUGAUUAGGGAUUGGGUGGAGAUCGAAUGUGCAGAUGGGAGGAAGGAUCAGGUUCGAUAGCAUAGAGGAAGAAAAUAGGGAGGGGCGAUCCUCUUUUAGUUAGGGAUUUUGGGUGUUUCUGGUUUAGUAUUUCACUUGGGGAUUUUGCGUGCUUUUGGGUGUUUUUGGUUUACACUAGGCGACCAUCACACCAAUAUUUCGUCCCCUAAAACCCCAAAUUAAUUUUGAAAAAUGGGUCCAAAUUUUGGGCCAAAUUUUGAGCGCAAAACGCUAGCGCCCAAUUUUGAGACUUAGGUGACGAAAGUGAAGUAUUUCGCCGCUGAAGUAGACCAAAUUUUUUAUCUACCCGCCCAAAUUUAGACUAAAUUAUCAGUUUCGUCGUCAAACUAUUCUAUAACACACAAAAAGACUCGCUACCAGAAGAAAGGCUUUAGCCGACGAAAAUAAAAGUUUAGCCGACAAAAAAUAUAAUUUCGUCGGCUAAAGUGUCGUGAAAUAACUCAUCUGGAAAAAAAGCGCUAUACGUAGAACCUUCAAAUGUAAAAAAGUCGUGAAAUAAGAUAUGACCAGAAUGGUGAAAUACGUCUAUGGUUGAAAAAUCACGGUAUUCCGGUAAAGUCUCGGUGCCGAUAGUUGCGGUCAAUGCAAUUUACCCUUAUUAUUCACUAUGCUGCAGAUUUGGCAUUUGGUGUCCGAUUGACUAUUGUGAUACAUUUCCGGAAGCGUAACGGCCCUACGAGUCAAACUCAUUGCUAAUGCCAUGAUGUAUGGGCCUUUUUGGCCAUCCGAGUCCGUUUAGGGCUUCAAAAUGUAGUUUUCUUAUUUUUGAUUAGAGUUGACCGUUUCGAUCGAGCCCUUAACGUUGUCGAAUCCAGUUGAAUUUUUUACCAUUGAUAUCUUUCGUCAUAAUGAUCAUAUCUGACGGUCGAAUUUUGGUUUGUGAAUUUUAGUCAUCGGAAUCACAACGUGUCUACUAUUUAUUCUUAUUAUUCCCUACGGGGAGCCCUAUCGUCAGAAGGUAAAUGUCUCAAAAUUUUUAUAUGGGCAUCUACGUGAGAGUUUUUUGUGUGGAAGAUUUGACCAAACUACGUAAUAUAGAGGGAGAUAUGAGCGUUUUCGUGUGAUAAGUGACGAUGGAUUAUGGUUGACCGUUUCGAUCGAGCCCUUAACGUUGUCGGAUCUAGUUGAAUUUUUUAUCAUAGACAUCUUUCGUCAUAAUGAUCAUAUCUGAUGGUCGAAUUUUGGUUUGUGAAUUUUAGUCAUCGGAAUCACAACGUGUCUACUAAUGUUGUAUAACUUGUUUAGUAGGUUAUACAACUUUGUGAACCAACUCUACAUAGGAAACAAAAUUAGUUGGUUCACAAAUAUGUAUACUUGCAUAUGUAACUUAUUAAACAAGUUAUACUAAAUAAAAACAUAUAUGAAGUGAUCAUCGGAAAAACAUAAAUAUAUAUGUUCCAAAUAAAAAUACAUAAUAGUAGUUACAUUACAUCAAGAUAAAAAAUUGGCUACAUAAAUUAUAUAAAUGAGAACGAGAAAAUCAGAUAAUGACAUUUAAUCGCUAUCAUCAUAGUCUUCAUCAUCAGAAUCAUCAUCUUCUACAUCAUCAUCUUCUUGGCUUGCAUCUGAAUCCUCAUAUUGAUCAUCAAUGAAGUCCUCUGUCGGUGGGACUUGUGAUGCGAAAGCCAAUUCAAUUUCAAGUUCAGAAAUUGGCUCAAGCUCUCCUUGUUCAAAAUAUACGUCGUUGUUGAUGCGUAUAUCCUCUGUGUCAGGAAUCUCUGAAGUUGAUUCCUCUUGAUACGGUUCAUCAACCUCAUGAUGAUCAUCUCGUUCUACACCGAGUCCAAGUGUAGCGGCAGAGUAUAUGUUUCUAUGUGACAUCACGUUAACCACUUUCCAACCUGCACCUCCAUUCGGAUCAUCAAGAUAAAACACUUGUUUAGCUUGAGUAGCAAGAAUAAACGGAUCAUUCUCAUACCAACUUGUGUUUGUAUUUACUGAUAACAAUCCAUGAUCCAUCUUCGUACUCGUCGAAACGUUUGGGUCAGUGAUGAACCAUUUACACUUAAACAACACAAUUGGCAUACGAUUCCCAUAUAAUAGUUCAACGACAGUGAGCAACACCCUGUAGUAAGGUUGAUCGCUUUCCCCCUGUGCCAUGACCCCGUAAUUUUGGGUCUUUCGUCCUUCAUCUCGUUGUAAUGUCACAAACUUGACACUGUUGACAAAACAUGCCGCACUUACAUGAUGAGCUUGCGGUUUACAUGCCAAAUUGUGCAAUUCUGGGUUGUAACGCGCAUCACCUCGUUGUUGCAGAGUAAACAUCUGGAAAGUUGUGGAAAAUAUAUUAUUGUUGGGUAAAUUGUCACAAUAUAUAUGAGAAUUGUGAAAAAAUUAUGAAAAACUUAUAUUGAACAUACCCAUUCUAGGAAAUAAUUAGGAAACUCUUUUUUAUGUCUUUCUUCAUGCCUGUUAGGAUAUGCAUCUGUAAUAUGGUCCAGAUGAUACUCCCUGUACUCAUUGACUUCUGCACAGUUUUGCAGAACAUACCAAUGAGCCUCAAUGAGUUCUACAUUAGUUAAUCUCUCUGUAUAUGGUACGUUUCCGAAUGGCUUCACGAGUUCUGAAACAACCGAGAGAUUAAACUGAGGUGCAUUUGUUGCAUCAGUUGUGUUAUCAACUACGGUGUCGUCGUCCUUAUUAAAGAUAUAUGAGUUGCAGUAGGUUACACACUCAUGUGCAAGGUAUGCCUCGGCAAUUGACCCUUCUGGGUUACUUCUAUUUCUAACAUAUUUCUUGUAGCCCCCGAGUUGCCUGAAACAUAAAGUUAGUUACUAGUGUAGUGUACACUAUAUAUAUAUAAAUGGAUGAAAGAAGAUCUUUACAUAAAUUCUACCUUUCAAUUAGGUGAAUCAUGAUGUCAAAGAAAGCGGGCGAGAAAAUCCUCUCCAUCUUGCACAAAAUGAAGACAAUUUCUUCUUUCAUUCUAAGGACAUCUGACUUCUUAAGUUCUCUAGUACAUAACUUCUGAAAGAACCUCGACAAAGCUACUAAGACCUCCACCACAUCAGGAUGCAAAUAGGGUCGAAUAACCACCGGUAGAAGACGUUGCAGCAAUACAUGACAAUCAUGACUCUUCAAUCCAAGUAUCUUAUUCUCUGCCACUUUUACACAUCGAGAUAUAUUUCCUGCAUACCCAUGUGGAUAAGAAACACCAUGAAACCAGCUGAAUACAUUUUUUUUCAAAGUGGGCUUAACACAAUAAGGUGCAAGAGGCAUUUUCAGGGUUGAUCCAUCUUGUGUUAGCCAUAAAUGCGGGCGUAUUUUCAUAUGCUCAAGAUCCAACCGCUCUUUGAUGGUGUCUUUAGUCUUUUCCUUAAUAUUGAGAAUUGUUCCCAACACACUAUCACAUACAUUCUUUUCUAUGUGCAUGACAUCUAGGUUAUGCCUAAUUCUCAAUUUCGACCAAUAAGGUAGUUCAAAGAAUAUACUUUUCCCCGUCCAGUUCCCGCUCUCAUCUGGUUGUUUUGGGUUGUUGGCCACUACUUUCGGAUCACUACUCUUCUGUCCGAAAUCAAUACCAUUCAAGUACUCUAAAAUUUGAUCACCAGACCACUCCCGUGGUUUCGGAAGAAACUCUUGUGAGCCAUCAAAAUUUUCUGCAUCUUGUCGCCAUUCGUGAUCCUCAUCAAGCGAUCGACGGCUUCCCAAGUAGCAUACCUUUCCAGCAUGCCAACUAGAAUGUAUGUCAUCACCGCACACUGGACAAGCCUUAUACCCUUUAGUGACAUGAGACGACAACAUACCGUAAGCAGGAAAAUCGCUAAUGGUCCACAUCACUACUGCUCUCAUCUUGAAGAAAGUUUGACUAUACCUGUCAAAAGUGGAUACUCCAUAUUCCCAUAAUUCAUUCAACUCAUCAAUCAAUGGUCUCAUAUACACAUCGAGACACUUUCCUGGAGAUUGCGGACCUGGAAUUAACAACGUCAGCAUGUUAUACUCCUUCUUCAUACACAUCUCAGGAGGCAGGUUAUACGGGAAAACAAUAACAGGCCAAGUACUAUGUGACAAGCUCAUAUUUCCAAAAGGAUUGAACCCGUCUGUUGCAAGUCCAAGUCUUACAUUUCGAAAGUCUGCUGCAAAAUCGGGAAACAAUCUGUCAAAGGAUUUCCAAGCCUCGCCAUCUGCAGGAUGCCUGAGAGUGUCAUCAUCUGUCCUCUUUCUCCCAUGCCAUCUCAUCUUCUUUGCAGUGCGUGAAGACAUGUAGAGACGCUUCAAUCUAGGAAUUAACGGGAAAUAACGAAGCACCUUCCAAGGAACAUUUUUCCCCUUCGAUGAAGGAGAUGGUUUAUACCUUGAUUCCUUGCACACGGGACAUAUAUCAAGGAAUUUGUUAUCAUCUCCAUAAAACAAAAUGCAGUUAUUCUUGCAGGCAUGAAUUUUCUUAUAACCGAGGCCGAGGUCAUUUAGUAUCCUGCGCACCUUAUAAUAACAAUCAGGAAGGUUAUUUCCAACAGGAAGCAUGUCCUUAAUAAGAGCCAAAAUCUCAUCAAAACCCGUGUUGGACAAUCUAUUCUUCACUUUGAAUUGCAUCAGUGAUAAGAUGACACCCAAAACAGUCUUAUCACUCCCAGGAUACAAUGUGGUGUGGGCUUGCACUAGGAGUCUGUUAUACUUUUCGUAAUCAGUGGUGUUAUUAGUGGUAUCAUAAUUUGUUUCUUCAUAUCUUGGGCAAGAUGGAAAAACAUCAUGUAUAAUGUCCAUAGCGGGGUCCAUGAAAGACCCGGCAGUACCACUAGAUGAGCCUGGAUGAUGACUGUGUCGUCCUCGGAAAUCGGUCAUUGUAGGUACAUGAUCUGCUACUUCACCAUGAUGUGUCCAUGUAGUAUAACUACACAUAAUACCUAAUCUAGUUAGGUCAUUGUACAUUUCCGCAACUGUCUUCCACUCUUCUAAAUUACAUUGUCUACAUGGACAACGAAAAUGUUCCACUCCAUUACCAUGUUGAAUUGCAAAUGUCAUAAAAUCGAGAAUUCCUUGCAUAUAAUCCUUGUGACCCCUCCGUAACUGCAUCCAACUCUUGUCCAUUUUCAGAAUAUGCUGUCAUAAGAUAAUCAAAAUAAACACAAAGUUAGAAACAAACAACAAAUUAAACAUGUAUUCGCUUCUUCUUCUCAACCUUAUGCCUCCCGUUAGGGUCCUAAUCCCAUUCGAGUGCACAUGAUUUUGUUUCAUAGUUCACAGUUCUUGUGUUUUGCUUUUUCGAUCGUAGGUAUAAAUUUCGGCAGCAUCUCCCUACAGUUCCUCAAGUGCACGAAUAUCUAUACCUAAUGUGCACUCAAGGAACGGUACCAAGAGACCUCGUUGAAAUAUAUACCCACGAUUGAUAACGCAAAACACAAAAACUGCAAAUUGCGAAACAAAAUCAUAUGCACCCAAACUGUCCAAAAAUGGGACAAUUCAAGAAUCAUUUUGUCAAACACAGUUGUGACAAGAUGAUUCUUGAACGGGAUUUCUAAGGCUAAUUAAAUAUUGAUGAAUGAAAGAACUUUACCAUUCUUACAUCCAACACACAACAUAAUCUUUUGAAAUCACAACUGAUUUCCAUAACAACCAACAAUUCAAUAUAUAUAUAUAAAAUCCCUUUUCCUACAUCAUAAUCACACAUGCAAGAUGUAUAUAUCAGAAUCACACAAACUACACUAUCAGCAAUAUGUGACCGGAAUUCUUCACCUGAAACUCAUCGGAAAACAUGAGAAAUAUGAUAGGAGAGAGAGAGAGAGAGAGAGAGAGAGAGAGAGAGAGGAGGAGAGNNNNNNNNNNNNNNNNNNNNAGGGAGAAGGAUCAUACCAAGCUAAAAACUAAGAGGUAGAGGUUGAUAAAGCUUUAUGAUCACCAAAAUGGAAGAAUUUCACACCGAAGGCAAAACCCGAGCAGAAGAGCGCAACUUUCCCCUUUUUUCCCAUUUGUUUUAGAUCUGGAAACUGAGUGGAGUCUAUAAAGUGAGUUCACUUAGGCGACGAAACAUUUGCGUCGCAUAAGUAACCACUUUCGUCGACUAAGAUAAACUUAUGCGGCGAAAUAACAUGUUCGUCGCCUAAGUAGUUGAUAGUUUAGGCGGCGAAAUCAUCUUCGUCGACUGAAUAUCUACUAAGGCGACGAAAAUAGUAUGAGUCCUUCUUUUGUCUCCUUGGUAAUCUAAGGCGACGAACUAAAUAAUAGUUCGUCACCUAAGUUAUUUUAGGCGACGAAUGAAGUUUUCGACCCCUGACUUCUUACUUAGGCGACCAAAAAGCUUUCCUCGCCAUGUUUUCGUCGCCUAAGUCCUUUAUUCUAGUAGUAGCUUCGCCCUAGCCUUGUUGUACAAGGAGACGCAAUUUUGUGCCAUUAAGAUAGCAUAACUCCAUUAGGAAAAGAAAUUCUAUAAUCCUUCUAUGACAAGGAACUGCCAAGACCCUAGUAGGCAAGUAUAUAUAGGGGUUUCCAGGGUCUAGAGAACUCGCUCUUUUACCUACACAACUUACAAACAGCGGCUCUUGCCAGACAUCUUUGUCACCUUAACCUAAACCUCCGCUAGCUAGAGCAUCUCUUGGUAGCUUUUAAUUGCUUAACGUUGCAUACUAACCAACGAAGCUUAGAACAACUUCUUAGCAAACACCUUAUGUUUUCUCCUGCCCCAAUGAUUGCUCUGCUAACACGCUCAUCAGGCUUUAAGUAUCGAUUUAGUUGUUUACAUCACAAAGCAAGACCUAGUCUUGUUUAGGCAAAGAAAGAAUCCAGUGAUGGAGGUGGUGCUCGCUUCAUCCACAUCAACUUCGUAAGGAGCCAUAUUUUACGCGCACCAAAGCUUACUUGCAUCCCGGCCACGAUGUUGGCACGCUGACAAUCAUCCAUAAAAGAGAGUGUUGACCAGUCGUCGUGGACUUAGAGCCAAACAUUUUGCAAUCCAUCUAAUUACCUCCUGCGCAUGCCAAAAUGUUUGGCUCUAAAUCUGCGAGGACAGGUCAACAGUUUCUUUUACGAAUGAUUGCACACGUGCCAAGUAAGCUCUAACACGCAUAAAAUCUUGCUUCUUAUCAAGUUGAUGUGGACGAAAAGAGCCCCAACUCUGUUACUGGAUUCUUGCUUCACCUUGACAGGACUAGGUCACUUCUCUUGAUCAGAACCUUUCAUUUUGCCUAAAUCCCUAAGUACUGGUACAUAUAUAAAUCUUCUUAUUUUCUUGUUAGGUUCCUUCAGUUUUUGAUAUAUCAAAUCUUUUGGGUGUAACUUGUCUUUGGCUACAAAACACGAGCUCCAUCUUUCAUGGCGACCCAACCGCACCCAGCUUCCUUCACUGCUGCCUUCCUCAUUGUCAGCCUAGCUUCCGCUACAUCAUCCCACUUCCCACCAGAAGCAUAUAUACUUGCAUGUUAGCAAGAAGCACAUAUAUAAUUCACAUCAUUUUGAUUCGGCUUAAUGUUUUAAAACGCUGAGACGUAACCUGAGGCAUUUCCUUAAGAGCCUUGAGGCGCAUAAGGCGUAAGCCUUAUGAUAUAAAAAUAAAAUACAAAAUUAUUUAAAUAUACUUAUUACUAUAAUAAAUACAUCAUUAAGAAUCCCUGAAAUAGCUACUUGUGUCAGCAUUUUUUGCAUCACCAAUGUUUUUUGUUUUUCUGCAUAGUGUUGUUGUCUUUGAACUUCUUCUUUUUCUUCUUGAAUAUGUUUUCUUUUCGUCUAGCUAGAUAACUUUCUUCCUUUCUAUUGUAUAUAUUUUUUUCUUCUUCUAAUAUUAAUUAAGCUUGGUGGUUACAUUUUUGUAAGAUGAUGUAAUUUUUCUAAUAUAAAAUUAUAUUUUAAAAAUAAAAUAAUUUCUACGCGUAACUGAAUGCGUAAAAGACGUGAAAAACGUAUUUAAAAAUGUGAAAGACAUAGUCUUUUUAAACCUUGGUGCCUUAACAACUAAACUGACUCAAUUUUCUGACGGCCUUGAGUUCUUUAAGCCUUAAUUAGGCUAGUUUUGAGGCGAGUUUUUUAAAAACCAUACUUCAAACUCCGAAAACAUUUCACCAGCCAUCCUGCCUAGCUCUGUGUUAUGAGUGUUAUGACCAUUGCUUGGCAACUAUACUCAUGGGUGGGUGAAUUUGUAUAUAACUAUAUAUAUAUAUAUAUAUAUAUAUAUAUAUAUAUAUGAUGACGUUCAUACGGAGUUGAAUUUAUUUGAACUUUGAACUGCUGAAUUUAUUUGAUUAGGUCUUAUAUGAAUCAAGAUAACAUGCAGUAGCUAGGAAGAAAUAAACUUUGUUGCAAGUCUGGUUAUUAAUUAGUGGCGUGAAAGACCGGCCGCUUCAUGCUAAUUAACAUCUAUAUUUGGAGAUGUUCUAUAGCCACAGAUUCAUCGGAAGCACUCGAACUGGGGCUUGGACCUGGACUUGCACUAGGCAACACGUUCGAAGAGGGUUCAAAAUGGAUGGCUACCUUUUGCCCCUUGACGCAGUGCCCGGCAAAGCUGCAAGUGAAGUAAUAUGUGCCGGGAGUGAGAGCUUUAAUAUAUACUGGACCCCUGAAUUGAUAUAAUGGUUCAGCGCUGUUGCAGGUGUCGAAAUUCUCCUUCGUUACUACAAUCACAUCAUCUUCUCCUGGUUUGAUGUCAAAGGCUACAGAAAACAGAAACAACCAUCGAAAUAGAUCUUCAUCGCCACAAAAACGGAAAAUUUAUACAUCUGAUAGGAAUUUUUUUAAGUAUCAACAUGUAUGUGAUAUGACAACAAACUUACUGAUAUGAUAACAAAUUCAGAAUAUAAGUGAUUACCAAAACUACGAUUUUUCGUAUCUCGGUACGAUUGGGGAAUACAGCAUCCUUGUGAAGAACCAAGUAGCUCAACAAAAUCUGAUGAUGAUGCCAAAGCAAGACAUGCCAUGAUGAUAGAGAUGAAUUGGAAAUACACGAGUAGUUGAGUACAUAGAGGAUGGGAAAUCUGUACAAUAUAAUGGAACUACAUAUACUAAGUGGAACAUCCAAAAAAAAGUACAACCAAAAACCUAUUUUGAUGAUUCAAAUCUGUCACCCAAAACAAAUGAUGUUAUCAGUGCAUUCAGGGAAAUGGGUGCAUCCAUAUUCACUGCAUGACCUGUGUCCUUGAUUAUCUCUACCUUUGAUUUUGGUCCCAAAUGCCUGUUUAAUCAAAUUGUAGAGAACAUAAUUAAAGAUAAUUAUUAUUGUUUAUAUAUUUCCUCUUUUCAAAUCCCAGCUAAGUAUCAAAAUUUGGAAGUGAACAUAUACUCACCUUUGCAGCUCAUAGGCCAAGUUCACAGGGAAGACAGCAUCCUUGUCACCCCAGAUUAUCAGUGUUUCCUUCAUCCCAAAAUUAAAAGCUUCAUUUUACAAGACUAUUGAGAAAGAUUGCUGUAUAUUGAUUGAAAUUAACCAGUUUGAUUAAAUACCUGAGUCAAAAUGGGAAGGUUUAGGUCUGCUUUUUCCCUCAGCAAGUACUCUGCCAUCUCUAGUUUCUGCUUCCUGUUUUUCUCAUAAGUCACCUACAAAAUGCAACAAAGUUACUGCUAUUAGGAUCAUUGCAAUGUAGUGAUGUACAAUACAUAAUGUUACGAGACAUUUUGAAAUGUUAUGUUGUCAGACUAUACGAAUCGCAAGUUAUAUACUUACAGACAGUGUAACAAUAUGUCAAUUUUGUAACAAACUCACAUUGAUAAAUCCACGGAUGACAACAUCGGGAACCCACUUAACAGGAGUGGCUUUGUGCAUUGAAAUAUUCACCAAGCCCCUUAGAUCAUGAGCACUUUCAGGUACAAGGAGCUUCAAUGCACUGCGUCCAAUCUUAUUGAGCUGAUCUUUCUUCUGCUCCUCUGUCAUUCCUAUCCCGCAACUCACAAUCACCAGCCUCUCCACCGCCUCCGGAUACAUCGCCGCCAGCCAAUAUGCCACAAACCCUCCAUAGCUUAUAGAGUACACACCAAACCUUUCGACGCCUAGUCUCCUCAACCCUUCUGCUACACAUUUUGCUUGGAACACCUCCGUCCUGUCGGACAUUUUUGUGUAUGACUUGCCAAAAAAGAGUAGAUCAGGCACGUAUAAAUUGAAAGUCCGGGAGAGUGAGCCGACUUGAUGCAUGAAUUGCCACUUGGAAUUGCCACCAUAGCCAUGAAGCAUCAGUAGAUCAGGCUUGUUAGAUCUUCUAGGAUUAGAAGACCAAAAAUGCAUGGUGGUUUGUUCAUCUAAUUCAAUAGUGCAAGGAGAAAGACCACAAAAUCUGAAGUACAAAUCUAAAAAUGCAUCUGCAAAAGCGAUUAGGAUCGAAGCAGGAUUCAAAAUAUAAGGCAAGACUGAAAGAAGGAACUCGUAAAUGGCGAUGAGGGUGGCCAGGUAGAAGGAAAGGACAUGAUAGAACUUCGUGUACGCCAUGAGAAUUGAGAGUGAAUGAGAGUUGUGCACUUGUGCUAGAUGGCUUUGCGUUUUGGCUACUUAAAUUGGAGGACUGUGCAAUCCCUUCAAGCCUUCACUACACAAGACGUGAGACAGAGUCAUGCACAAUUUGUGAGAUGAGGAUAAUGCAAUAGUGUGACACAUUUUGCAUUCUUAUCUUAGCUAGGACAGUGACAAUCUUGCCAACCCAAUAUGAUAGCAGAUUGAGAAGCAAUUAUUUUCAUAACCGGGAGCAACACUAUAAAUGCGGCAGCGCAAACUGCGCUCCUUCACAUAUCACUCCCGCACUUUUACCUUGAUUCCUAUAACGGUGCGGGAAGUUUACGAUAGCAAGACUAGCACUCUCUUAUUGAAUUUUUCAUUUAUUCUUUUGGGUUAAGACUAUUUUAGUGACCAAAAAUAAUAAACUUAAAAGUAUCAUCUUCACCUAAAGAAGAUAGGGUUCCCAUAUUUGAGUUUAUAUAUAACUGAAGAUCCACCCACGAGCUUUGAUACUCUUCACACUUAGAAAAGUGAUUAACACCAUCGAAUGAUCAAAACACGCCAAAUUGAGCAGCACUGCCCAUAAGGUGUAGCAGGUGAGCAGCAUGGGAAACAAUGAAACAUUACUUUAUAAUCUUCAAGAUGGGCACUAAACUACCAAAUUCUUGAGUAAAAGAUGCUCAUAUCACGGAGCAUGUUCUUCCUCUUCGAUUUCUGGUGUAAUGUUGUACUAUAGUUAGUUCCAGUUUUUUCACAGUUACUACGUAUUAUGAAAGAAGAUUAGGACAUGUCUGGUAACAUUUUCGAAAACAAAUUUUUUAAAAAUAAUAUUUGAAGUAAAAAUGAGAAAAUUGUUCUAGGAUAUUUUCUAUGUGUGCCUUGGCCUUAUGCCAAUAGGAUAUGUAGUUAGACUAGAUCUAUGUAUUCAUAUCCUUACCAUAUUGGUAUUGUGUAAUUCCCUAUAUAAAGGGCUCCUAUCAAUGAAUAAGAUGACUCUCUUGCUAUCUCUUUGUCUCUACACUUUAUUCUUCAUCACGUUAUCAUGCACUUUGUUCUAACCCUAGAGCCAAUAGCCUACCAUUUUUUUCCAAACCCUAAAAUCGGGCAGCCUUGUUUUUCCCGAUUUCCGACCAAAAUUCCGACUGCCCUCCGCCGGAAUUUUAUAUCCCCAGAAAGCUCUUUCCGUCACGGAUCCAACGCCGCCGGCCUCACCCUGAGAACCGGCCGGAAAGUCUCCGAACCGGCCGCCGGAAAAUUCCAGACCGCCGCCGCUACCGACCACCGGUUCACCACCUUCCCUUGCUCCGAUCAACCUAAAAUUUUGACAGAAGCUUCCCCAUCCAGAGCUGCUCCUCCUGUCAAAUUUUCAGCCCCAAAUUCGAAGUAUAAGUAGGCGAAACGUUAUUUCUCCUCUCGGCAGCCUUUAGAAAAGUAUGUUUUGAAACCUUAAACUCUUCCAAGUUCAAUAACUCGGGGAGGAUAAAAUCCUUUCCUCCCUUCUCCAUCUCCAUUCUAUGCUUGAGAUUUUGUGUGUGCAGGUACCAAAAAUCCCGGAAUUUUAUUCGCGGGUCAAGAGUCUGUUGGAUCACUCUUGUUUCUUUGUCCGGGUUGUGUUUGAUCAACCCCGACCUUUCACCGGAUUGUGUUUGAUCAAUCCGAGGCCUUUUUCCGAAUUGUGUUUGAUCAAUUCGCGGCUUUUCCGGAUUGUGUAUGAUCAAUCCGAAGGACAAACCAUUAAAAGCAUCGUUUGUGACCUCUAUCGAGUCUCAUAACAGCUUGGUUUUGUAUGCAAGAGCAAUGUAACAUUCUGCUCCUUUGAGUUUUGACGUACUAGAUGCCUAAGGCGAAUCUUCGCUUGGUAUCUGUGGAACCUUUCAUUGGAAAGGAUUAAACCACAUGUUUUGACCCCAGGCUAACAAGCCUAGAUGCCGAGAUUCACAUCUCAUGCGCUCAAAGUUUUUGAAGCAUCACAUCGACAAAAAGCCUUCAAUGGCAACCUGUGACAAAAAGUAAUGACCACAAGUACUGUGGAAUGCACUCAUGGAGNNNNNNNNNNNNNNNNNNNNNNNNNNNNNNNNNNNNNNNNNNNNNNNNNNNNNNNNNNNNNNNNNNNNNNNNNNNNNNNNNNNNNNNNNNNNNNNNNNNNNNNNNNNNNNNNNNNNNNNNNNNNNNNNNNNNNNNNNNNNNNNNNNNNNNNNNNNNNNNNNNNNNNNNNNNNNNNNNNNNNNNNNNNNNNNNNNNNNNNNNNNNNNNNNNNNNNNNNNNNNNNNNNNNNNNNNNNNNNNNNNNNNNNNNNNNNNNNNNNNNNNNNNNNNNNNNNNNNNNNNNNNNNNNNNNNNNNNNNNNNNNNNNNNNNNNNNNNNNNNNNNNNNNNNNNNNNNNNNNNNNNNNNNNNNNNNNNNNNNNNNNNNNNNNNNNNNNNNNNNNNNNNNNNNNNNNNNNNNNNNNNNNNNNNNNNNNNNNNNNNNNNNNNNNNNNNNNNNNNNNNNNNNNNNNNNNNNNNNNNNNNNNNNNNNNNNNNNNNNNNNNNNNNNNNNNNNNNNNNNNNNNNNNNNNNNNNNNNNNNNNNNNNNNNNNNNNNNNNNNNNNNNNNNNNNNNNNNNNNNNNNNNNNNNNNNNNNNNNNNNNNNNNNNNNNNNNNNNNNNNNNNNNNNNNNNNNNNNNNNNNNNNNNNNNNNNNNNNNNNNNNNNNNNNNNNNNNNNNNNNNNNNNNNNNNNNNNNNNNNNNNNNNNNNNNNNNNNNNNNNNNNNNNNNNNNNNNNNNNNNNNNNNNNNNNNNNNNNNNNNNNNNNNNNNNNNNNNNNNNNNNNNNNNNNNNNNNNNNNNNNNNNNNNNNNNNNNNNNNNNNNNNNNNNNNNNNNNNNNNNNNNNNNNNNNNNNNNNNNNNNNNNNNNNNNNNNNNNNNNNNNNNNNNNNNNNNNNNNNNNNNNNNNNNNNNNNNNNNNNNNNNNNNNNNNNNNNNNNNNNNNNNNNNNNNNNNNNNNNNNNNNNNNNNNNNNNNNNNNNNNNNNNNNNNNNNNNNNNNNNNNNNNNNNNNNNNNNNNNNNNNNNNNNNNNNNNNNNNNNNNNNNNNNNNNNNNNNNNNNNNNNNNNNNNNNNNNNNNNNNNNNNNNNNNNNNNNNNNNNNNNNNNNNNNNNNNNNNNNNNNNNNNNNNNNNNNNNNNNNNNNNNNNNNNNNNNNNNNNNNNNNNNNNNNNNNNNNNNNNNNNNNNNNNNNNNNNNNNNNNNNNNNNNNNNNNNNNNNNNNNNNNNNNNNNNNNNNNNNNNNNNNNNNNNNNNNNNNNNNNNNNNNNNNNNNNNNNNNNNNNNNNNNNNNNNNNNNNNNNNNNNNNNNNNNNNNNNNNNNNNNNNNNNNNNNNNNNNNNNNNNNNNNNNNNNNNNNNNNNNNNNNNNNNNNNNNNNNNNNNNNNNNNNNNNNNNNNNNNNNNNNNNNNNNNNNNNNNNNNNNNNNNNNNNNNNNNNNNNNNNNNNNNNNNNNNNNNNNNNNNNNNNNNNNNNNNNNNNNNNNNNNNNNNNNNNNNNNNNNNNNNNNNNNNNNNNNNNNNNNNNNNNNNNNNNNNNNNNNNNNNNNNNNNNNNNNNNNNNNNNNNNNNNNNNNNNNNNNNNNNNNNNNNNNNNNNNNNNNNNNNNNNNNNNNNNNNNNNNNNNNNNNNNNNNNNNNNNNNNNNNNNNNNNNNNNNNNNNNNNNNNNNNNNNNNNNNNNNNNNNNNNNNNNNNNNNNNNNNNNNNNNNNNNNNNNNNNNNNNNNNNNNNNNNNNNNNNNNNNNNNNNNNNNNNNNNNNNNNNNNNNNNNNNNNNNNNNNNNNNNNNNNNNNNNNNNNNNNNNNNNNNNNNNNNNNNNNNNNNNNNNNNNNNNNNNNNNNNNNNNNNNNNNNNNNNNNNNNNNNNNNNNNNNNNNNNNNNNNNNNNNNNNNNNNNNNNNNNNNNNNNNNNNNNNNNNNNNNNNNNNNNNNNNNNNNNNNNNNNNNNNNNNNNNNNNNNNNNNNNNNNNNNNNNNNNNNNNNNNNNNNNNNNNNNNNNNNNNNNNNNNNNNNNNNNNNNNNNNNNNNNNNNNNNNNNNNNNNNNNNNNNNNNNNNNNNNNNNNNNNNNNNNNNNNNNNNNNNNNNNNNNNNNNNNNNNNAAGAAUCAGGAAGAGCCCUAUGAUUGAUGUAAAGAUCAGGGGGAGGUGCGAACUUCAGGGGGAGACUAGCACAUACACACAUGUCACUAUCAAAUGUGAAGGGUGCGUUGUACUCUUUUCUCCUACGAUCAAGGUUCAGUUUUUCUCCCACAGGGGUUUUUUGUGACUUGACGAGGGUUUUUGACGAGGCAACAGAUCAGCACCAUCGGCAUAUCAGCGCGCGGCACAAGGGGAGUGUUCUAGGAUAUUCUCUAUGUGUGCCUUGGCCUUAUGCCAAUAGGAUAUGUAGUUAGACUAGAUCUAUGUAUUCAUAUCCUUACCAUAUUGGUAUUGUGUAAUUCCCUAUAUAAAGGGCUCCUAUCAAUGAAUAAGAUGACUCUCUUGCUAUCUCUUUGUCUCUACACUUUAUUCUUCAUCAAAAAUGAGAUUGUAAGUUUUAAGUUUAAAACGUAUCCGGUGGUUAAUUAUAAAAUUUAUUUUUCAAAUUUCUAAACUAUAGGAGAAUGAAAAAGUAACAACGUUAAAUAGACGUUUUAGUUUUCCUUUACAAUAGUUGAAAAUGGGUGAAAGUGGAACCACCUCUAUGAGUCUAUGUCACGAACUAGUACAGAGCUCAAUAUUGAGUUAACCAAAGUAAUCAAUCGGACCAAUAAACCUAACAUUUUAGACUGAAAUAUACUUGAAAGUUCUACAUGCGCUUUACCAAAUAAUUCACAAAUAUAACAUAAACACAUGACAUGAACUACCUAAUGGAAAUAUCGACAUACCUUCAUAUCGAUGGCUUUAGUCUUAUCCUCUCUGCUAUCAUAGAUGGGAUGGUCUGAAGGUCUUGUUUUUGAGAGAGCAGGGACAAAGCUCCUUAUUUAUAGAGUUACAGUGACACCAAGUGAUCUCCCACAGAGACGCAACUUGGUAAAUCCAAAGUUAACUCGUAUAAGCUUUUUCUUAUGCAUCACCAACACAAUAUUUGUUGCUAAUGGACUCCUUAACUCAUAUGGAUCAGAUAUAAAUUAAUCCGUAAGUAAUUAAGACUAGUAAUAACUUAAUGCUCAUAUUAAGUCGAUAUCAGUUGCAAUUAGUAUUUGCAUAAUGAUGAUGAGUUCACAAUAUGAUUCUUACAAUACUUGCUAAGAAAAUGUUCACAAUCGUAUCAUGCAUACGAUAAGAUAGUGCAAGGAGAUGUUCAAUAUGAUUUUUUUCUAGGAUAUUCUGUAUCUUUCUAGAUAUUCUUUAUGUGUGUCUUGGCCUUAUGUCAAUACGAUAUGUAGUUUGACUAAAUCUAUGUAUUUUUAUCCUUACCAUAGUGAUAUUGUGUAAUUUCCUAUAUAAAGGGCUCCUAUCUAUAAAUAAGAUGAUGAUUUCUCUAUUCUCUUGCUAUCUCUUUUUGUCUAUACACUUUAUCAUUUAUCACGUUAUCAUACACUUUAUUUUAACCUUAGAGCCAAUAGCCUACCAUUUGUUUUCCAAACCCUAAAAAACAAUUCUUUCUCAAACCAAAAAGUUCUCGACCCUGCCUCGGCCCCAACGCUGCCGCUGCUCCCAACUGCCGCUUCCCGGCCGUCAGCUACGCCUUCUUUUCUAGUUUCGCCGAUCGAGCUUUAGAUCAAGAAAUCUGAAUUUUUCGAAGAAAUUUUACAGUAUGUUUUGAACCCUAAACUCUUCAAAGUUCAAUAAACUCGGGGGAGAUAAAGUGUUUUCUCCCCUUUUCCAUCUCUAUUUUAUGAUUGGGAUUUUAUGCGUACAGGUACCAAAAAUCCCGAAAUUUUAUUCGCGGGUCAAGAGUGUGUAUGAUCACUUUUGUUUCCUUGUCCGGGUUGUGUAUGAUCAACCCCGACCUUUCUCCAGAUUGUGUUUGAUCAAUCCGAUGCCUUUUUCCUAAAUGUGUUUGAUCAAUUCACGGCUUUUCCGGAUUGUGUAUGAUCAAUCCGAAGGACAAACCAUUAAAAGCAUCGUUUGUGACCUCUAUCAAGUCUCAUAACAGCUUGGUUUUGUAUGCAAAAGCAAUGUAACAUUAUGCUCCUUUGAGUUUUGACGUACUCGAUGCCUAAGGCAACUCUUCGCUUGGUAUCUGUGGAACCUUUCAUUAGAAAUGAUUAAACCACAUGUUUUGACCCCAGGCUAACAAGCCUAGAUGCCGAGAUUUCACAUCUCAUGUGCUCAAAGUCUUUGACGCGCCACAUCGACAGAAGCCUUCAAUGGCAAUCUGUGUAAAAAGUAAUGACCACAAAGUACUGUGGAAUGCACUCAUGGAGCGUUUCUUGAAACGUUCAUAUAACUCUACUUGUUGAGUUAUUAGUUAAGUGGAUUGCUUACCACCUUAAUUGACUACAUAUUGUCGAUGAUCUUUUGUGGCAUCAUGAUCCAUAAUCUUUAGCGGAUUCGAUCAUCAUCAAGUUCUCUAGGUCCUCCAAGUUGGUUUGGAAUUACCAACGAGACUUGAUUUUGAUCAUACAAUUGCAAACGGAAAUUAUAUAUACGCUAAUGCGAUAAAUGUAUUUGAGAUUAUCCCCUAAUGUGGGGACAACAAUAUGGGUCAUGGCAAUGGUAGAAAACACAGUGCCGAUGUUUAGAAAAGAGGGGGAGGUGUCGUCGGCCCUAAUGGCGACACUCCCGAUCUAGACACCAAUUAUAUUUGUCAAAACUACUCACGUCAGCUUAUGACAAUGCAACCGUUAUGGAUCUUCGGAUCACUAGUUCAAGAUUGUCAAGCUCUCCUUCAAAUUGUGAAUGCAUACAAAAAGGUACAAAAAAUCAAUAUGAGGACAAGAACGUCAUCCUCAUGAUCGCGAAUUUCAAAGAUUUGGAUCCUGCUCUAGCUACCCCUGACUUUGACGUCAUUGGCUAGACAUUGAUUUUCGUUCCAACUAUAUGUAAUAAGGCGUCGUAUCGAUGUCCUUCAUCUAUUUGAGACCUCGAUGUACUCACAUUAGCAAUAAUGAAUGCCUUGAGAAUUUUUUCAAAGUUAUGAAACUAUUCUCCUCUUAUGGUUCGUAUUGAUUUACAAACAAGAUGUACAUUUUUACAUCGUCCUUAGAAGCAUGGCAUAUUUACAAUCUACAUGGUUAGAUUGUGCCGUUUUGGUCUCUUCCAAGUGAAGAUGACGCACGGCCUUGCAUCCUCAAGGAGGAUCGCCAACAUGUUUCCGGUUAAGUCUUCUACUCUAUAGUGGAUUUUCCAUCAUCAAUUGUUCAACUAGGCUCAUCCAAGCUCAGUGUGAUGUCUUAGAAUUGUCCAAAAUUAAGGAGAUAGUGGUUUCAAGUGUGUCUCGCAUACCGACCCUCCACGGACAUGCCUGGUCAUAGUGACUUGGAGUUACUGAAAGUUUUUGAUUUUGGAUCCCCCUACGCUAUUAAACCAAUUACCGUCUUGCAAAAGACAUUGAAGAUUUAUCAAAACCGGAAACUUAUCAUCAUGAUCGAAUCCUCUAGGUCCUCUGAGUUAGUUUAUGUUCAUGUCAGGGAGCUUUUGCUAACUAGUCAUGGAGUUUACGACCUUAGAACGACCGAAAGGGCUUGGUUUUGAUCAUACACACAUCACUUUUAGCUAAGGCAAAAGCCUACACGCCAUCCCCAAGCUUCAAAGCUUUGCCAAUGCCAAAUCUGUGAAAAACAGCAAUCUGUCCCUUCUGGACAGUCAACUUCGUUUGAGCUUUUUGAACAGCUCCAGAUGAACCAGACAGUGAGCUUUAUAUCAUUGGAAAGCUCUAUGAGUCUAGUUUUUAUAACUUUUUACGGUUCGUCCAUAUCUAUUUUAACGAAGAAGUUAUGGCUGUUUUAGUGCGCAAAGGUCAUUCUGCGCGGAAAUUUUUAUGCACUCUCGGGAUUGCUGCUUUUUGUAGAUUCUUUCAAUCCUUCUAAAUGGUUCAAGUGGAACUAUUUACUCUCCUAUCUACUUAUUUUUGUAGAUAUGUCUCAUAGAGACAUUGAGUGUUUUGCAGAUAGUGGAAUUAUCCACAACAUUCUAAAGAAUCCGCUAUUAUCUCUAGAUUUUGUGCCUUGUAAAUCUUCUGUGACUACAAUGAUUGAAUCAUACCGGUCAUUCAAGGACGCGGUUUAGCUUGAAUCUUGAUGCCUCAUGGCACCAUGAUCAACAUCAAAGAUGCUCUCUAUACAUUGAGAGGCAACCGAACCAUGUUGAGCUUUAAAGACAUUCAUGCUAAUAGUUUUCAUUUGAAAACACAUUGUGAGAAUGAACAAGCAUUCUUUUGUGUAUACCUUCUCAUGAAUGCGGACUGAAGCGCAUCUUGGAGAAAUUUAUAAGUCAAUCUAGUGGACUGUAUGUCACUACGAUUUAAAUAUCGAAUCCCAUGUUGUCGCCAAUCAUGAUAUUUGAGACAUCGACUCAUAUAGGCUUUGUUUUGACCAAAUCGGUCAUCUUAGAAGAGAUAUAAUGGUCCAAGUAUUGAGAAAUUCUCAUGGACAUCCAUUCUUCCGCUCAAAACGAAGACAUUCGGGAUCUAGCAUCACCAUAAAGCAUGGUGGUGACCCGGGGGACAUUGACGUCACCUGAACACAUCUCCAACUUCCCGGAGGCCGUCCGAUCAAUUCCUCAAGCAAUUGAGGUGCACCGGCCUUCCCUCGAUGUCUCAUUGGCCCCUUGCAAUGCUUAUUGAUCAUUUUGAAAACCUAUUCUGUAUCUAAAUUAGGAGUGAGACCCUCCUACGCUAAAUGACACAAAAGUAAAUAUUUCAUUCUUACAUCAAACUAUGUAGAUAGAUACAACCAACUCGCGGACACCUUUUUAUGUUUUAUGGUAUUGGUUGAAGUGUUAACACACUAGACAAUGAAUAUACUCACUAACAUUAAUCUAAUUUGAUGAUACUUUAGGACCGUUACACCUUACAACUUACAAAUAUUCAGAGGAAUCUUAGCUAGAUUGUAUUGUUAAACAGCUGCUUCCCAGAAUAAUGACUCCGGUCAGCUAGCUUUGCUUACAGUCAAGUAUGAACACGCUAGAAAGCAGAUCAGAAAUACCUUGCUUCCAAAGCUUCCAAUCUUCUAUUCGUCUUUAGUAUCUUUACCCCCAUUUUUAACCAUUCCCACCAAUUAUUUACGUUGAUAAUUCAGUUCAUCUUUUUGCUUUCUUCACUUUCUGGACGGCUGUCUAUCACCCUUCUCAUCCAAUUUCAGGCUUUCCACCUAGAUUCCUUCGCCUUACCCACAUUCUUUUCCUCUAUAAAUCUCCCCCUCACCUUCUUCUAACUCCUCCUCAUCAAGAUUCAAGUUGGUUUUCUUUAGCAAAACUAAGAAAACCAACCUUGAUAUAUAGCUUCAUCGAGUCCAGCACUAAUGGCAACCUAUGCAUACGCAAAUCACCAAAACUCGUCUCAAAGGUCAGUAGCCAUGGUGCUGGCUCUAGUUUCUGCAAUCGUACUCUCCCCACUAUAUCAUGUAUCGUCUCGAAAAACCGAUACAAGAUACUAUGAGACAAAAUGGAUGAGCUCCGGGUUUGUUCUUCCCAUGGUCCUUGCUGGACUUAUCAUUGCUAUUAAAACCACCUCCUCCUCAUCGUCAAGUUCAUCAGCAUCGACACGAGGAGGUUCUUCUUCUAUUCCCUCUCCAGAUCCUUCGUGGGUGCUAAGAAUUGGGAGUUCAAGCUGGGGACUUGCUGGGGUUUUGGUCAUGUUGAUGCUUGUGCUUUCAUGGCAAAGUUCUAUCCAUGAAUUUUUCUGGAGAUAGAUUUAGAUAUAAAUCAAAUCCCACUUGUAAUAGCUUAACGGAAGAUUGUAUUCCGCAUAUCAAAUAAUGUAGAAGUGGGGACUAGUAAAUGAAAGAAAAUAGAAUUUCAUGAACAUCUUUUCAAUGCAAGUAUUUAUAUUUAUAUUUAUAUGUAAGGCAAUUUUGAACGAUUGUAUAAUCUUUUAGUUCUACAUACCCUCGUGGAGUUCAAACUUGAAAAACUAUACUCUAGUCCCUAUAUAUGUGGGAGCCGUUUUAAUAAAGACUCUUCAGUUGAGAGCUAUUUGAGGAUUUUUUUUGUUUCACCACUUUCCCGAUUGCGUAUUUAUAUCUCAACCGUUAAAUUUAUAUGUAUUUAUAAGUAGAUUAUGCCUGUAAAUUUUCAGCCGAAUUGAAAAUCAUUAAGACAUUCGUAAGUGUGAUUUACAAAUUAAGAACUUGAACAGUUCAUAUUUGACAGAUUGGUUCGUCCAUUGAUUUGAUCUAGUUUGAUACAUUAAGGAUCACCAAUUUGGCUGAAAAUUUACAUAAGUGAUCUACUUAUAUAGAACUACAAACUGAACGGUUAAGAUGCAAAAAUGUGGUUGAAAAGUAGGUCUCUUAACCCAUUAACUAAAAAGUCAUCAACUUAAGGCUCAUUAAAAGGGCUCCCAUACCUAUAUACUAUAAUUAUAAAUUUAUGAUGUUAUGUUAGGAAAAAUUGAUGUCAUUAGAUCAUCAUGAUGUUUUGUCAGGAAAAAAUUAGUGUCGCUAGAUCAAAUAGUAUUAGUGUACAAUAAUUUCUGAAUUCUUUAGGUACUAAAUCUAAUUACAUCUCUAUGAUGUUAUUGGAAGAAAUCGAUGUACAUCUUAUUUCCAUUCACGUUGAGAAAAAAAAAUGAAAGUUAUACAACUCUAAAGACUGUGUACUAACAUUUUUUGAUUGGAUGGUGUAUAUAUAUGUCAUAAGCUGGCACGUAAAGUAGGCUCUAUAUGGUUCCCAAAAUUUUUACCCUAAAAUGGGUUGGGAGCUUCUAUUAAUAAUUCAUACCUUCAAAUACAGCACUUGGACCUCCUUUCUUAAUAGACCUUCAAUUUACUUUUACAAAGAGCUAAAAUGCUACUUACACCUCCCCAAUUUUCCUAAAACGCCUAUUGUCCAAUAAAAUCAAUAAAAAUCUUUUUCUUUCAUACCUCCAUAUUCGGUAGUUAGACCUCCUUCGAUAUAUAACAAUAUGAAUUAAUCUAGAUACAUGUUUCUGCAUAAUCCCGGAGAUUAUGUAGAAUCACGGUGGAACACGAACAUAAACAUGAACAUGAACAUGAACAUGAACAAGAAACAACAUGGGCAAGAGACAAGGACAUAUAGUGGUUCACUAUGCCAUCGGAGGACAUGGCUACGUCCACUUAAGAUUCCACUAUCAUGGUCAAUGGUGUUACAAGAGCUCUCCAAGAUGAAGUGAGUAGGGAUCGGGAGAGAGAUCCAUUCUACAUAUGGGAAGCCUUCCUUUUAUAGCCAAGGAAGGUUCCCUCAUAUUACAUAUUUCCAAUGUGGGACAAACUACACAUAACUAUUAUCAUGGUGCCUUCUUGUGGAGCUUGGAGGAGGACCUUCCAGAUGUGGUACCGAUGAUCUUUCACCAUGGCGAGGUAGCCCGGAUGUUGGUCUAUCGGAAGUAUGUCGGGGGCGGGGCCCUUCGUGGCUAGAAAACUGUAUACGAGGUCGUUGCUUAUGCUUGCAGUAUAUAUACCAUCAACAAUACCUAAUGUCCUUCUAUAUAUAAAAACAUGAAUUUCUACUCAAGCUCUAUAUAUAACAACAUGUUAAUUUACUUUCUUAUUUCUUAUGAAAUUAUCAGGUUCUUGUAACGAAAUCAAAUUUCCAAAACCCAAGAUUUCUUUUGCUUCCUAAUGGAAAAGACCAUCAUCAUCAUCAUCAUCAUCAGUAGCUUUGUUUUCCAUCCAGCUAAUUGCAGGCUACGCUAUGGCUUUUUUAUCAAUCGCCCACCUUAAUUUGACCUAGAAUAUCAUCAUCAUCAUCCUUAUAUUAUAAGUUGUUGGAGUUGUGUGGAUAGGUAGAGUGAUAGACAAUAAGUUUCUACAUAUAUAUAUAUAUAUAUACACACACACACACAAUGCUUUUCAGAUACAGAAGCCCGUAUUUUUUCAAAAGUCUAAAUUUGUAACGCUGACCGUUAGAUUUGAUGAAAUGAACUUCAACGGUUAAGAUUAAAACAGGCUGAAACGGGUCAAUCUUUGGUGCUACUCGGGUCAAAAACAAAACCCAUCUGCAGAGAACGAGCGAAGAGGAACGGAGGUCUGAACAAGAAGACGAGCAUACCAAUCUUCAUUGAUCAACAGUUGGGAAUUGGUGAUGCAAGCAAACAGUACUACUUUUCAAAAUGGAAAUUCAAUUUUGGUCUCUCCCAAGCAUAUCUGCUUUAUAAUACAUCUGAACUUUACAAGAUUAAAGAUUGUCUUUUUAUUGGCUUGUCAUGCAUAUAUGCAAGUUUGGAGACUUCUAAUUUUGUUAAUUUGCAGGUAUGGUGACCAUAAUGGAGCUCACCGUUUGGAUUCCUUUGAUUUCGUGCUCUGUGUUCUUUGGUGCCUCCGUUCAUCUUCGCUCGUUCUCUAUAGAUGGGUUUUGUUUCCAACCCGCGUAGCACCAAAGAUUGACCCGUUUCGGCUUGUUUUAAUCUUAACCGCUGAAGUUCAUUUAAUCAGAUCUAACGGUCAGCGUUACAAAUCCGGACUUUUGAAAAAAUACGGGCCUCCGUAUCUAAAAAGCAUUAUAUACAUAUAUAUAUAUAUAUAUAGUCCGUUUCAGAUACGGACGUCCGCACUACUUUAUAGUGCAGAUUUCCCUCUGUUAGCCACCGUACUGCGUCGGCGAGGGCGCGCCUCCACCCCUGCGGACUCCAGCAGCUUCCCCGACCACUUUCCAUCCCCGGCGAGUCCGCCGAAUUCCAAUUUUCCGGCCAGAUCACCCAAAACUUCAAACAAAGUCAAUCUGGCUGGAAAACUGGAAUUCGGCGGACUUGCCGGGGAUGGAAAGUGGUCGGGGAAGCUGCUGGAGUCCGCUGGAGUGGAGGCGCACCCUCGCCGACGCUGUACGGUGGCGAACGGAGGGAAAUCCACACCAUAAAACGGUCUUGACGUCCGCACCUGAUAAUCUUUGUGUGUGUGUCUAUAUAUAUAUAUAUAACUAUAGAAUGAUGCAUGCCUUUUAAGAACUUAGCUAGCUACAAGUUUCGAUCUGACUGAUGAAACAAACACAAUAAUACACUCUUGAACUAGCUCGACCAUUCACUCUUGAACGAUGCCUAAUUAUGUGUAUUUUUACCCACAUAAAUAGUACUUAAACACUAUGAAUUUGCUAACCCUCAUAGCAAUUGAUAUGUAAUUAAUCUAUUUUUAUUUCUUUUGUUAGAGAAUAAGCGGAGUAACGGAAACGAGAGAAAAUUGAGCGAAAUUGAAGAAAAUUAGACUUUCGACAAAAAGACGAACUAGUGGAUACCUUGAUUAAUCAAUGUUUAAUUGUUUAAUUAAGACACUGGUUAAUUAACCUAUUUACAAGUACAAAUCCCAUGCAGCAGCUUAUUAAUGAGAAAUUUUUCUGUCCUUCAGGAGGACCACGUCAGCAUGCCUAGUGGUCCUCUUUGGCCAAUAGGAAGCCUUCCUGUAGUACUUUUUGACAUGUCCUAAUAGGGUAAAACAAUUACUGUAUUUAACUUAAGUAAAUCCAACUUAAAAAAAAUGAAUUAAGUAAAACCAAACAAGAUCAAAUAAAAAAAGAACUCAUAUCUGGGGUUCAUCAUCUCUUACCAAAAAGAACGAAAAAAAAAUCUCAGAUCUCCAUGGUAGUUGAAAGAGGAUGGAGGUUGAAGAAACAAGGAAAGAAAAACCUUAAAUUGAUUUCUGGAGAUCGAAUUUGGAUUAGUUGGGGUUUAAACCAAAGAAAUUGUUUAUUUCUUUACUCUCCUUCUUUCAAUUAAUUGUGUAUUUCUUUACUCUCUGCGUCAGUUUGGAUUCCAAGAAAUUGUACCAACUUCAAAGAAAACCAUAUAUUGAAUCUUGAAUUCGACCUAGGGUUAACUAUAUCGUCUCAGAAUGGAGUUAAACAAUUUGUUAUAGUGUUUGCUGUUUGAAUUUCAUGUUUCCCGAGGUCACCUUGAGCUAAGAUGCUUCAAGAUUCUGGCUUUUCUUUGUUUUUUUGUUGUAGAUUCAAAUUUUCUUGGUUGCCAAAACAGUGGCAGAUUUGAAUGUGAAUGUUGUAUGGUGUGUUUUUAUAUUGUUGGUUUCGAUUUAAACCCCAGCUAAUCUAAAUUCAAUCUCCAAAAAUCAAUUUAAGGUUUUUUUUCCUCAUUUCUUCGACCUCCAUCCUCUUUCAACUACCAUGGAGAUCUAGGAUUUUUUUUUUCUUUUUGGUAAGGAGAUGAUGAACCCCAGAUCUGAGUUCUUUUUUUGUUUGAUCUUGUUUGGUUUUACUUAAUUUAUUAUUUUUAAGUUGGAUUUACUUAAGUUAAAUACAGUAAUUGUUUUACCCUAUUAUGACAUGUCAAAAAAUACUACAUAAAGACUUCUUAUUGGUCAAAGAAGACCACUAGGCAUACUGACGUGGUCCUGAUCCGUCUGGAGGACAGAAAAAUUUCUCAUUAUUAAUCAUGGUUAGUCCAAUUAACCAAUGGAUUUCACCAAUCCCACAUUGACACGUGGCAGCCUAAUUAUGCCAGCAUCCUCUCACGCAUAACACACUCGUAUAUCUCUUAUGGAGCAAAUGAGAUUGCGCCACCUCAUCACAUCAUCUUCAUUUUCUCUCGAGAGAGAGACCAGCCACAGAUAUAUAUUCUCUCAUUCUCUCUUGUUGAGGGGAGGCAGCCGCACACCACCGUUUCACAAAAGGGGAGGGGCUUUGCCCUCUCCCAUCUCAUCCUCCCUCUUCUUUCCGUCAAUUAUAGGGUAUAAUUUCUUUCGGCCAUUUCAGGGAUUACUCACCCAAAGCUUCAAGGAUUCUACUCUACAAGAUUCAAGACUUGGGUAAUUGUGGGGGUUGUAAAUCAAGACUAGUCAUGCUUGCUCUUUAGUUAUUGUGACUAUUCUUGUUUUCUCCUACAUUUUUCUACUCUUCUUUCUUUGAAUUUUGUAAUUGUGAUGUCUAUGAUUAUGGGUUGUGAGUAGUUUCUUUUUGGGAGCUAGGUUUCUACCUCUAGCUCAAUUUUGAUGUAAUGAACAUAUUGACUUGAUCAUAGAUAAUGUAUUUUCAUAUGGGUGCACUAUAAUUACCAUGCUUAUUGAUUCUUGAUGCAUUAAUUUAGGGAAUUGACCACUCUCUUUGUUGUGUGUUAAGAUUUGUGAUGUGUGUUACAAUUGGUGGUUCUUUUGUUCACUAGCUUCUUGUAAGUAGUGUGGUGUGUCAAGUAGUUGCUUAAUCGGGAAUUAAUAAUUGUUAUGUUUCUAUUCUCUUGUACUCUUUGUCUUUAGUCCUAUUGUUGUGGCCUUAACAAGGCAUAAUAAUUGUGAUUAGAGAGUUCAUUCUUGCCUUGAUCGGAAUAGUGGAUACCAAAUAAGAGAAAUGACUUAGUGGCCUUGACCGGCAUUAGGUACGGAACUAUGUAAUCGUGACAUUCUAGGUAGUAACUAUUGCAUGCUUAAAUCUCUAACUUCUAUAACUCUUCACCUUUGGUUCAUGUUUUGGUAGCCCUUGAUAAGGUACUAGUCCAUGAACUAGAGAGUUCAUGUUUGCCUUAACCGGAAAUGUGAAUACCCUUGAGGUUCGGCAUAGUGGCCUUGAUCGGCAUUAAGUACAGGAUUUGGUACUUAUAAAGAUAUGUUUAUUUGCUUGAAAUUGUUCAUUGUAUUGAAAUUGCUAGAGCGAUCCCUAGUACCCAAAUCUUUCUCUUCUAUUUUCCUUCAUUUUUAUUUGCCAUUGUUAAUUUAGUUUUUAGUAUUUUUCACUCAAAAAUUAAAAUCACAAUUUCAAAAUCUCUACUCAUUGUAAAUAGUCAUCACUAGGCAUUAGUAUUGAUUAGGCCUUGGUGAGAACCGAGGCCGAGCAUUGCUUAGGCUUGGUGAAGGCUUGGUGCCUUAGAGUAGCAUUUUUCUUUAUUUUGUUUUCUUUCUUUGUCUGCAUUAGUGACUUAUUGACCCAAGGAUUGUGGUUAGCCCUUCAAUCCACGUGGUACGAUACUUGGGGUCUAAAUACUUUCCCUUUCUUUAAUGGCCGUGCUACAUUACGCGUUAGUUAAAUGGCACCGUUGCCGGGGAUUGAACCCGGGUCACCCGCUUGACAGACGGGAAUACUUACCACUCAUGCCUACAUCCAACACGGAUUUAGCAGACAAUGUUGGUUUUAAGUGUGGGGGUGAAGACUCGGCGCCUUAUAUGAAAAAAAAAAAAAACAGUUUCUUUCUUUGUUAGUUUUGGUGUAAAUAAGUAAGGUUUGGUGUAAACAAGUAGUGUGUGCCUAGUUUCUUUCUAACCCCAAUGAUGAAAGCAUGAACUUGAUGCGUUGUGACUUUGAAGAGAAAGAGCAUGUUUCUAGGUCUUAGGAUUUAUUUUGCAAUUAAUUGUGAAAUGUGAUUGUAUGCUUGAGUGCUAGCCUUAUGUCAAACUUGUUUAUUACAAUUAGGGAAAUCAUUCUAGACUUGUAUGACUUGCAUACCUAUUGUGAGAUUUUGAGCUUUAUUGAUAAAUUUGCAUUGUUCAUAUUUACUUGUUCUUCAUGUGUGCCAAUUUUACGAUUACGGUCUCUAGAACUUACUUCAUACCCUUCAAGGCAACUUGGUAGCUCAUGACGAGAUUGAAAUGAUUGAGGCAUUAGGAUUAAUAACCACCAUGACCAAAGAAGCAUGUGUCUGAAAAUUUUUACCAUUAGAUUGCCAUUUUGAGCCUAUGUAUAUAUUUAUAGCCUUUUUGUUCAUUACCACCACAAAUUCCUACCUAGCUUAUACACUUUAUCUUACCCUUCCAUGGUAGUUGGUGAAGCAACUCGAGAGAAAGACUUUAUGUUUGAGUGCUUCAAAGAAAGAAAAAGUCAAAAGUGUGAGGUUACAAAAGAAUAAGUGUGGGGGUGGUGAUUUUGUAUAGAAAAGAAAAGAGGUUUUGAAAAAAAUAAAAAAGUGUAGAAAAAAAAAGAGAAACAAGAAAAAAAGAAAAAGAAAAAAAAGAAGUAUGUAUAAUCUUGUAUAGUCUUGUUAGUGGGUUGUUUAUUGGGAUUAGAGUGAGUGAGCUAGCACUUGAAAGCAAAAGUCUAAUGUCUACAAGAGAGAGUUGCUUCAUUGAUUUCAAUGAACUUUGUGUUUCCUUAGCCUCGUUACAACCAAAUAAAAAACCUCUUGAUCUUGAAACCUGUGAUAUUACCUAGCGGAGAUACGGUUGAAAAGCAAGCCUAUGGAGACCUAACUUGCGAAAAUUGUAUACGAGUGAAACAUAUUAGCCCUAAACACUUGAGCAAAAAUAUUUAAUGUAUCCUUGUGAGUUUAGCGGUUAAUCCAAGUCUAGGGUGUCAUACUUGCUUGUUGUAAAUUGGUUUGACACAUGGCUAGCACAUAAUUUUGUGAGACCAGUACAUAUUAAUUGCCUCAUAAAUUUGUGAGACCAGUACAUCUUCUACAUGUUACAUAUUAAUUGCCUCAUAAAUUUGUGAGACCAGUACAUAUGCUUGAUCAAUUCAUUGUCACUUACAUAAUAUAGUUCCCGAAGGACAUGGUUGGAAAGACUAGCUAGCACCACUAUAAUAUAGUUGAAGAUCAAGAGGGCUUUUAUUUGGUUGUAACGAGACUAAGGGCAAGUGGCUAAUAAAAAUGAAAGAGAAAGAAAACACAAAGUUCAUCGAAAUCAAUGAAGCAACUCUCUCUUGUGGAGACAUUAGACUUUUGUUUUCAACUGCUAGCUCACUCUCUCUAAUCCCAAUGAACAACCCACUAACAAGACUAUACAAGAUUACUCACUCACCUAUAAGGAUAGACCACCAAACUGGUCGCCUUCAAACCCUUGUCAGACAGCGAACCUGUGACGACCUGCAUUUUAAUAAAUAUUAAGAAAAUAAGAUAUACCAAGUAAUAUUUAUUUUUCCUUGGUGUUUAUUGUAUUCAUAAAUAUGGGUAUAUUGGUGUGUGUGUGUGUGUGUGUGUAUUUAUGUGAGUAUAAAAGAUAUAUAUAAACCAGCCUAUUAGUUGUAUUGUUAGACCAGCCCAAUAUUUUUUUAGACACACGCCCCCACGCCCAGUUUAAAAAAAAAGCCCAAGACACCUGAUCAUUUAUACUUGUGGAAGGGCGACAAAUGCGUGUGUUGAACGAAUUCAUCAUCUGGUCUCUUCAUGUUUGACUCUCUUCAUCCUCUGCUGGUUCAUCGCCAUCCUCCCAUUUUCUUAUGCUCUUCACAAGCACCACCCCACCUAGAUUAGAAGAUUAUACCUAAUCUUAAUGAUAAGAUUGAGUUAUCUAAGAAGCUAGAGGUGUCAAUGUUAUAGGAGAAGCCUUGGAGAUUCAGCUACCAGAAGCAGGAGGUGAUGAUUCCUAUCAAGGUGGCAUCCAAUCUCAUCCUAUCUAAAAUUGAAUUCUGACCUGUUUGCAUAGCAGUAUAAAUACCAGGUUCGGUUCUCUUAUUUUUCAUUGAGUUUUCCUAUCUUUGGUGUUUUCUAAAAGAAAAGAAAUAGUGAGAGAAGGGAAAUUUUCUGAGAAACAAGAGGGUAUCUAAAAAGCAUAGCUUUUGAAUUGAGAUAGGGGGAUCUCGGGAACCUCUAUUUAAUUUAUUGUGUUUUGUUUGCUGGUUUUCUAUAUGUGUUUUGUUUGUUGUUUGUUGUUUUGAAGCUAUGUGUAAUUGUUGUGUUUCUGCUUGAUGUUUUGCUAUAUAUGAUUUUAUUUAUGAAACUUGAUUGUGGAAUUAUUGAUCAGGUGUUAUUUGUAAUAUGUUCUUAGUUAAUCAACAUGUUCAUGAAUAUAAAAAUUGAGGCGGGAGUUUGGUGAAAUUGAGAAUGGAAUUUGUGGGAGAAUGUUUUUGUGUAGUUGAGCUUAAUUCGUAGGAGCCAAGUAUCAGGUGGGCUAAUAUGGCUGUACGAUUUUGGUGAUCUAGAUUAAACAAGAGGACUAGCAAAAAGAGAAUCAUGGUUUGGGUGAGGGGAUUAUUAUAUAUUGAACGGAUCAUUGCAUUCAUGCAUUGUUAUGGUUGACAUCUGUCGUUUAAAGAGGACUAGCCUCCUAUUGAGCGUUGCUCACCCUUAAAAAUAUUAUGCAGGUAUUGAACAUGAAGUUUUGGUUUCCCUGUUGAAGGUUUUUGUGCAUAAUGUGAAGAAAGUGUGUGGCUUGUCCUUUUAAAUUUAUGUUUAGAAUAAGAACAAAGGAUGCAGCAUGUUGUUUAGCCUUUGAAGUUUAUGUUAUAAUUUCAGUUGAAAUAAUAACUAUCAAGGAAGUUUGUAUUAUAAUCUAUGACCUCUUUAUUGAAUUGUUUAUGCCCUUUAAUUGGUUCCAAGUACUUCAAAUUGUUCAUUAUUUUUCAGCUUUAAUAUUUGGAAUUAUGAGAUUUUGCAUCAGUUAGCUUUCGUCUGAAAACAGUAAAAUUUUAUUUAGAAUUUGAAGUUGGUUUCUUCAUAAGAGUUGUAGUAGACAUCUUAAGGUUCAUUCCAGAAUUUGUAUCACUUGAAAAUGAUUUUUUUAGAUUAAGUUAUGAUUUUUUCAAAGUUUAGGGUCUGCAUCAAGAAAUUCUGCAUAUUUUAUUUUUCUGAGAUUUUGUACCAGUUACCUUCUUUCGAAAAAAUGUACAAAUUGGCUUAUUGUUUGCACUUUGUGUCCUCAUGACAGUUACAUUAGGCAUCUUAAAGAUCAACCAAGAGUUGGAAUCUCUUGAAAAUAAGUUUUCUAGAAUUAGUUAUGAUUUUUUAAAGUUACAGCUCAGUUGCAUAUUUUUCUGAAAGCCUCAAAUUUUCCUUGGUUUGUAUUUUCUAUCCUAUCCUAUUUUUAUUUUCCAAUCACACCUUCAACUCAAAAAAAUAUAUAUAUAUUUCGGGUCAGGGUAUGACAGAACCCAUGCCACACUAACGAGGCCAGAAGCCAACGUCGGUGUAGAGGCGCUGCUUGCAGCGUAACAAAACCUCACCCCCACCCCCACCCCUCUCUUUUCCUUUGCGAACUACUAAUGAAUGUUGACUAAUUGCUUGUAACAAAAACUAAUUAGUUUGAUCGAUCAGAGAUGACUAGUAUGAGUAUUCGUUCUUUCUUUCGUUUCUUUGAAAGUUCAUGGAACCUUCAAAUUUCUGGACAUCCUCAUAACUCAUAUAUGGAACCAUCCUCAUUUUAUUGUUUCCUUGAAAGUCCAUGGAACCUUCAAAAGUUCUGUACAUCCUCAUAACUCGUACAUGGAACCAUCAUUAUAAGACCGGUCGACCCGUUGUUAUAUUUUUAACACUAACUUUCAAAAUCUUAUUACACGCAAGACUCUAGAGUAAGUAAUAAGUUGGGACAUGAUCAUCGUUAUAAGUAAAGGAUCUAUAGUUUUUUUUUUUUUAAUAAGAAGGAUCUAUAGUAGUCUGUCUUCUAAUUUUUUGAAACAACAACUGACCAACGUGUGUCUUAGAGCAAAUGCACCCAUGAGCCAAGGGCAAUUGCUCAUUUACCAAUUAAAUUGGUACUGCUAAUUCAUUAUUCAUCUCAAAUUGGCAAUUGCCUCUCUUUUAUCAAUGCACCAAUUGAAGAUAAUUUGCUUGCUAAUCCAUUAUUCUCAUUACUUGAAUAAUUCAUUAAUAAUGAGAUUUAAUUCAAAUGUUUGUUAACUUAUUUUAAUUUAAUUAAUAAAUAAUGAGAUUAAUUAUACAACAUUAUUAUUUUUUGUUAAAUAAUCAAUUUUAAAAUAUACAAUUUCUUCUUCGUAUUGCCAGUUUCUCCCAUUUUUGGCUGGUAAUUGGAGAAAUGAAGAACUAAGAGCAUCUCCAACAGUGUAAGUAAAACUAUAAUUAAAUUUAACUAUAGUUAUGAGAUUUAACAAUUGAUAUAAGAAUUUGGUUUCAACAGUUAUUGUUAUAUGUAAGUUAUAUAAUAAUUUUCACGAAUUAUAAACUGACACGUGGAGAAAAAAGUAAAAGAAAAAUAGAAAUAUACUGCUAGAGCUCUUAUUCAUCCCAAAAGUUGACAAAUUUCAAAAAAAAAAAUUUGAUUUAACAAUACUGCUGGAGAUGCUCUAAAAUGAUGAGGAAGAAGAUCAGGGAUUUACGUAUUUAACUAUAUUUACGUAUUUAACUAUUUAUAGAAGAAUUAGGAAUUUUUUUUUUUUUCGGGUAGAUUUCUGUUAAAAGACAAAUAAAUUAAUAAGUUAUCAUUAUUGAUUAACCAAAGCCGUUAGACCCUCAAUCUGAUUGACACGACCAAUUAAACUAUUUACUCAAAGAUCGGGACGGUAAAAUUCUUAUUAUAAUCACGCUAGUAAAUAAGGUAAAAAUAUAAGGGUCAGGAUGUGACAAUUCUCCCCUCAUAAAAAUUUCGUCCUCGAAAUUAACAUACAUGUCAUCCGAAGAGAUACGGAUACUGCUGCAUCAUUUGCUCCUCUGAUUCCCAAGUAGCUUCUUCUACUUGAUGACUUCUCCACAGCACCUUGACAAGCGGGAUUGUCUUAUUCCUAAGCACUUGCUCCUUUCGGUCGAGAAUCUGAACCGGUUCCUCUUCAUAGGUCAAAUCUNNNNN
rnacentral:lncRNA from 1 species